rnacentral:lncRNA from 1 species
CUGACCCACCAGACAAUCCAUUGCACAUACUAAGAGUGUCAAAAAAACCACUUUUUUGUCACCUAAAGAUUGCUUCUACAAACCCUCUUGGUCAAUUCUUCAGAAAAAGGAAAAUUCGAACAAAAUGGGGGAAAAAGUUAAAACAUUAUUUUCAAAAACCAAAAAAACGAGGGAAUAUGUAAAGGCCCUUUUUGGUUAUUGGAAAUCAUACCCACGAAACAAGUAACCAAGUGACUGCAGAGCUUGAACAGUACGACCCCUACAGACCCAUCACAGAAAAUGCCCAGCAAAUACCAAAAUGUAGAAAAUCAGGAGCUCAGGGAGCUACAGAGAAGCAAGAAUAACAACCUGGCAGCUCUUGAGCCACUGCCUCAGACACGGCAACAGAACAAAACCCUAGAUUUCAAAUCUAGGGUUUUGACAGGAAAAUGCAGGAGGUGGAAAAGGGGGAAAAAGGAGGGAGGAAAAGACAAAGGGAAGACGGGAAGGGGGGGUUGGGGUGGAAAAAAUGAAUUGAAAAUUUGAGGUUUUGAAUUAAAGUUGUGAGUGUGUGUGUGAGAGUGAGAGAGAGAGAAAGUGUGUGUGUGUGUGUGUGAACUGUGAACUACUAAUUGAGAGAGAGACAGAGAGAGAGAGAUAGAACUUUUUCCUUUUUCUUUAGUCUGAUCUGAUGAGGCCUGAGGGGAGUUGUGGUAUGGUGUGGUGUGGUGUAAGUAUCUCUGACUAUUAGAUAGGAAAGGCCUAAUGCUAUUGGACAGACAUUGUGGAGUACCAACCAGGAUGUCCUCAUCAGAUUGCCCUUGCUUGGGGCACAGAGCCCUCCAGGACCCCCAGUCCCCACAUUCCUCUCCACUCUCCCUCUCUCACUUCUCUCUCUCGUUUCUCUCUUUAAUGACCCCUUUGGUGUUGGCAUCUUUUGCUGGGUUAGGUUCAACGGAUUGUUUAUCUCAUGUAAACAGUGCUAGGAGACGAAAGAAAAGUAAUACUUUAGUUAUUGGAAUGGGUUAGAAAUUGGUCAUGGGCCGGUCUCAAAUGGGAGACAGAUUGUUAUAGAAUGUGAGUUUAUUUCUUUUUCCGAGCCACUAAUACAAGAUCGUCAUGAUUUUUUCAAACUACUACUACGAGAUCGUAUGUGGAGAGUUUAAAAUAUAGUAUUGUCGUAUAGAUUUAAUGGCAUUGUUUAAGUGAUUUAAGACGUCACAAUGACAAUAAAUCUAUUAAGUAUAAAUGUAGGGAAAAGAUGUUUUCCUUCAAUGUUAUUGGCGUAACAAUAUCGAGACAAAUGGAGCAAUAGCAAAGUCAUAUGGAUUAUAAACAAAUUAAUUAGUAAUUAGCGUGGUCAAUAAAGUGUUCAUUGUUAAGUUACUGGUCUAAAACUAAAAUAUAAGAACAUGUUUUCAAACUUGACUAUACAAGUGGGAGUAAAAGUCAUGACCCACAUGACACCCACCUUUGUUUUGGUAUUUUAUACCCGAAUUUACACUCUCUUGUCUAAUUGAAUCUAGCAGUCCAAAUAAAGGUGAAAAUGAUAUUAUGUUAAAUUACACCCAUGAUUUAAGUGAUUCGAAACUUUUUUUGGUCCAAAUGAAGAUGAUGGAAUGGACCCAAUCAAGGCUAGCCAAUGUAAACUAUCACCAAUUAGGAAGAUUUGAGUUGAUUGAUGUGAUCACGAGACAAGGUAUAUGGACUUAACUGAAACCUGUAAAUACAAGCUUCAAGGAAAAGAAAAUGAUCCCCAAUCAAACACACAAACUUAUCAUUUUAUUCUCCUCAAUUCCUCUCUAGGAGCAGCGCAAUGUAAUCCCUAGUCUAUCGCUUUUCAAUUUCCUUUCAAUACAAGUUUUUAAUGUACUUUAUGUUAUUAAUUAGUUUAUUUUGUGCAAGUUAAAUGCAGUUUUCUUUUUAAUUUUUAAUUUUUUACACACUUUACUUUCCGUCUUGCUUUUGCAAUUUCAUUUAAUUUCAAAGCACUUUUAUUUUUACCCACUCACUCUUCAUUUAAUUUACUUUCUCACAAGUAGAUUAAUUUUAAUUUCAUUUAUUCUAAAUUCUUUUUACUUUUUCGCUCAAUCCUUACCUUCACCAUUUAUCAUUAUUUUGGUUGUUGCUUCAAAGCCUUGUCUUUGAGGUAAAAAACCGUUCAAUCGUUUGAUUAGAAGUCAAAUCUAAGGUGCAAACGCAAUUCACGCUCACAUUUUUUCUACAUCGGUCAAUUUAGUUCACAUGGUGACACACACUCACGCAUCAAAACAAAGAAAGACUAAAUCCUAAAAAUAAAAAGGGAAAAAGUUUUGGCAUGCCCAGUGGCAUACUGUCUAUGAGCAACCAAUAUGGAUUGUAAUAUUCAUAUCGGUGGAUAAACUACGGUGAGUAUGGGUUUAGUAGCCAAUACAUACGAAAUGAACAAUAUGGCUUUAGUGGCCAAAAUGACUAAGGCAACCAAUAUGCCUCUGUUUAGGCCGAAAAAUAUUGGUUUGGGCCGAGCACUAAGUUGUUCUCGACCCAGAGACCGUACUUAGGAGUCAUUGGGGGUCAUCCAGUUUAUGGGCCACAUAGCCAAGGCCGGCCGUGUCCUAUUAGGAAUCCAUGGGUAGUUGAAUCCUGAUACGAGAUGGAGUUUCGAUUAGAUAAGGAUGUUGGAGUUUGGGAUUGAAUCCGGCUUGAUAACAAGUUGAGUUCAAAGUCCUAGUAGGAGUAGGAGUAGAACUGGUUAAGAUAAGGGGGGAUCGAGGAAAGGAGUCCUACUCCGAGAAUGGUUGUGAUUCGAUUGGAAGCAGGAUAGCUACUAUAAAUAAGAGGAGGAGGACAUCAUUCAAGCCCCCUCCAAUUCAACACACAAACUGCCAUGCGCAAACCCUUGCUUUCGCGAAACCUCUCAACAACCUUGAGAUUUUUAUUUUCUCUUUUCGCCGACACAUCUUCAGUUUGGAUAAACAGCACUGUGAAGGCAACCGGUGAACAUGUUCAGUUUGGAUAAACAACACUAUUACCGUAGAAUCAGCCGACCGCAGAGCACCUUCAGUUUGGAUAAACAGCACUAAGUCGAGGCUGACUGGUUAUCUAUCCAAGUCUUGGUCGAGAAGGAUUUUCGAAUCCUUAUUGGCAGAGGUCAUCUCAUCAGCCUUCUUGGUGAAGUGAGGUGUUACUGGGGCUCGGCACAUUGAACGCCGAGUUGUUUUAUGAUUGGAUACUCACAAGUAGGCUUUAGAGUUUGGCAUUCCGACGGUCGAACCACAUUUUCCAUCAAGACAUAUAUCUGUUUUGAGUAUUUGUGCCCCUAUACUCUGGUGUUGAUUCAGUGUGCUUAUUAUACUCGUACGAAUAUAAUCACUGUGACCGAAUCCGGCGCCAACGAUUUGUGAACUUCACAGAACUAGUAGCUUUGUCUUCAGACUCUAGAACCUGAAUGCCGAGACGUGUUCCUUCCUUGGCCGCAGUCGCAAGAUCAAGAAGUCAGUCGCGUGCUCAAUGCAACAUCAACAUAUUUUACUCCUCGGCCGAGCUUGGCCGAAGAGUUGGUAAACCCGCACAUAACCGAAUGACGUAGUUAGCUCAUUAGUUACUCGGUCUACGCGCCACGUAGGCUUGGUAGUUUUUAAGUUCAACAGCCUCUAAUGACAUUAUUGUAACACGAUGUUUGGAUAAGGCAAUUUAAGAUUACUAAAGAAUUUUACACUGGCAUAAAUUGAAAUGAAGAAAUUUUAUUUUCUAGAAUUUGUGAACUUUCUUAUUUGGUUAACCUAAAAUAACAACAGAAUUUUUUAUUUUUAGACUCUCACUCAUGGAAAUUCAGAAAUAACACAUAUUUACAUGAAACUUGAGCUUGUGAAUUUUCUUGUUCAGUUGUAAUAGUGGUCAAUAUGACCAAAAUAAUUCAACCAACAUAACUAAUGGUUCGGAUUAUGAAUUUGGCCAAACAAAUUACUCAAACUAGGGGUGAUAUUCUAAGGUCCUCUUUUUUGAGGACCUGUGAAGGCCUCUUUUAUAUAGGCAUAGGAUUUAAUUUAAACGGAUGAGUUUAUAUAAUCCUAUUACACCUAAACAAAAUCAAAACACGCUAAAAAAAAAAAAAAUGGGUUCAUGCUCAAAUUUUUUACGGCUGCAGGUUGAAGGAGAGCAGCGCGAAUUCCGAUUUCACAGUGUCCUCGGAAAAUUAAAAUUCCCUUUGAAGCUACGAAAAUGUAUUUCCUUUGUAGUUGUAUUGAUUUCAAUUUCUCCUAAUUUUCCCGUCCCCAUUUUUGAAAAAAGUAGAAUCACGUUGAUGUUUAUCGUAGAAUGGAAUUAAUUGAGUACCAUUCUUCUUUUAAUUAGGUCUCAUAGUAACCCAGAAAUGCUUUCCUAAUUGAGCACCAUUCUAUUUUAUAUUUCUUUGUGGUGGUGGUUCAACCUCAACCCCAUUCUUCUUUUUUUUUUUUUUUGCUUCACUUUUAAUUUUAAUUGCAGAUGGUUGUAUGAUGGAGGAACAAUCUUACCAGGGACGAUCUUGAACCGGUAUCAACGAUCUUCAAGGGUGGGAGCAGAGCGGUAGAGAGGGAGGGUCGGGACGACGUCCUUGACGAAAUAUUUCCUUUGAGAUCGAACGGGAUACAUUUUUGCUCAUCUCUCUCGGGAAACAGGAAUGAAGGAUGAGUUUGAACCCUAUUUCUAUUUGUUAGCAUGUUUUGAUUUUAUUUAGGUGUAACAGGAUUAUAUAAACUCAUCAGUUUUUCUACCAUUAGAUUAAUUUUAUGGCUCAGAUAAAAGAGUUCCUCACAGGUCCUAGAAAAAGAGGACCUUAAGAGAGCAUCUGUUACUCAAACAUGCAACGAAGACUGACUAACAGCCUUGAACAACUCCAUCUCCUUCACAAAGGGAAAAGGAAAGGGAGAGAGGUGGCCCGAGAGUAAAUUGACAUAAAGCAUAUGGAGGAGGAGUCGGCCUUUGAAUUUGUUACUCAAGUCGACAACGUUAAUGAAACCCGCACUUCCAUUGAUUGAGGAAAAUGCAAAUACCAUACAAGAUGAAAGUCAACAAAUAGCCUAGUUCGACGACCAAAAUACUGACGAAAUGUCAAUUUUUAAAACCACUACCAUAUAUCAAAGUUGGUCGAUCAACCAGACUUGGGGGGCAUGAAAAAAGGGCCAAAAUAAUGACCAAAAGUUAUAUGGGUUUAGGGUUUGGCUGAGAGAAGAGUGAGGCUGAAUUAUUCGAUAGGGAGAUGCACCACAGGUGGCCAAAGGAUUACAAGCUUUGGUUGGUUUAGUUUUCAAUACAAUUUGAGUGGUCUUAAUGCAGAGUUUUGGUCCGCUUAUUGAAGUGGCAUGAUUCUUUUGCUUAUUGAUGGUUGAUCGCUAUCUAAUCUGAUAAUUCAAUGCUAAAAAAAAAAAAAAUUGAAAUGUUAUAUGAAUUUAUACUCUUUUUUUCAAUUUGUCAUAUAAAGUAAAUUUUAACUCAUUCAUUAUAUUAAUUUUUUGAAAUCAUCAAUUUGUCAUCUCCUAAAUCUCUUAAGUUUUUCAUUUAAAAUAAGUCAUGUGCUUCUUGUUUUUAUAUUUUUAUAUUUAUAGUUAUACGAAGAUAUAUUUACACUAGGGUAGGGUAUAUUGUUUUUGGACUUGUGGGAUCCUUUUCAUAAGUUCUCUAGUUCUAUUCGGUAAGCACAAAAAAAAUUUGGCUGGUAAAAAAAAAUUAAUGAAAAUUGUUGGCUAUAGUGAUAGGAAUUUUAGUACAUGUGCAAAACAGAUUAAAAUCACACAAAAUACUUGUAAGAGAACAUGUAGUUGUAAUAUAAACGGCUAUAAUAAAGUCGUUCUCCACAAGAAUAUUUAAAAAAAUUAUAUUUAAUCUAAAUCUUAAUUCAUUACUUAAAACAAAGUUUUAGAAAAUAUGUUGAUUUUAUGACCUAGAUUAACAAAACUGAUUUUAAUUAAAAAGAUUAGAAAAAUCUGCAAUAUUAAAGAAAGGGAAAGAAAAUAAUUUUUGAAAAUUAAGUUGUAAAAGCACUAGAGUUCCACCGUCACCUUAACAAUCGUAUGUAAUUUAUCAAUUAUCUAUGAAUUAGACAUGCAACUUUGAAGGUUAGGUUUUCCUAAUGUAUAUUCUACUUUGACCUCCAACCUAGAACGUAUAUCAAACAUGCAAUUCGGAUCACAUUUAAACAAAAAAGACUUAUAAAGCUUUAUUAAAACUCUUUGAAAAAUCAUGCAACCAUUAAGACGUGGUGUUCGCUCUAAGUGAACUUACAAUUAUUAACCACAAGAAGUCAUAACCAAUUUCAAGAAACCUUCCGACAAAAUUGCAUUAAAUUACUUUUCUAAAGAUCCUAAUGGUAGCUAAGCAUUAAGAUGAUAGUUUAAAUAUAGUGAUUAAUAAUUCAAAGUACACAUGCAUAAUAUCAUAAGCAAUUAAAUAAAAACUACAUAUUCAUGCUAAUUUUCAUGGCCUCGCUGUCACAUCCCGGCCUGGGCCCCAUUGCAUGCCAGGCUCGACUCCGUCAUAGCACGAUAUUGUCCUUUUUGGGCCCCAACCAUGCCUUCACGGUUUUGUUUCUGGGAACUCACGAGCAACUUCCUAGUGGGUCACCCAUCAUGGGAGUGCUCUCGCGCUACUCGCUUAAAUUCGGAGUUCCGACGGAACCCGAAGCCAGUGAGCUCCCAAAAGGCCUCGUGCUAGGUAGAAUAUACAUUUAAGGAUCACUCUCCUGGGCGAUGUGGGAUGUUACACUCGCCCUAACAAAAGAAAGUUAAUUAUACGUAUUCAUAAUUAAAAUCAAAAGGAAUUUUAUUGAAAUAGAAAAAGAGUUAAAACACCUUGAAAGUAAAAGUCUCAGAAUCUUCAAAAGCUCUAGCCAAAUUACUCUCUCCAAAGUCGUACAAAGAAUACGACUAGGGCUAGCCAAAAGGCCUUAUUUAUGCUACUACAGUUGAAAUCAUUCCUAGAAAAUGUCUUAGAAUAAAACUAGGAAAUAAAAUAAAUAAAGAGAAACUAGGAAACAAUCUCCUAGUCAAACAUGGAGAAUAUGCCAUCAAACUUAUCAGCCACGUUUUUAGCUACAAAAAGCUCCAAAACAGGUUCAAGAUAGCUUAUUUUAAAGACAUUCUGAACAUAUCUCCAUGAGGGUCCGAACCCAAAAGAGACAAUCUUGGACGCCAAAAAACCCAAAUAAGCCCAAAAACGUCACUUUGGCAGCAUUGCACGCUGCUCAUUCAUUUCAUCGCCAUAAAUAAUCCGUUAGGUAGAAAAAUCUGAAACGUUGAGAGACUCAAAAACAUCUUCCAAUUGAAAUCACUAAAAUUCAUCUAUUUGAUCACUUUUUCUGAAGAGGAAGUUGAAAGUCUUACAUUGAAAAUAUAAUUCAAAGUAUCAAAAUUUCACCAAGAUAAUUACCAAAACAUACCAAGAAUAUGGGAAAAUAUAUAAUAUGAAAUCAAACCAUCAUAGAGAUUAUUUGAGCAACACAUGUAUAUAUUAACAAUUAAAAAAAAGUAUGAACUCAAAACAAAUCUAAUUCCAUAAAAAUUUAAGGCCUAGUAGAUGGUGAACCAAGACUCCUUCCGUAAAUGAAAGAAGAAAGUUUGAAUCUUACCCUUGAAGCUCAUCCUUAUUUUUACAAGGCAACCACCCAAGUGGAGGGCCAUCAAGUCCUCUACUUGCUCCUUGAAUCUUUGUUUCUUCCUUACUCCUUUGCUCCUUGAGAAUUUGAUGAAAGGAUUCUUCAAGCAGCAAAGAGAUGACACCUCUAAGUCCACACACCAUGGAUGUGAGGUGAAGACAAGAUGGAUAAACUAGGAGAAGUUUUGAUGCUAAUAAAACUUUUUUCUAGUUGGCUGGCUAAAGAGAGAGAGGGAGAGUUUGUGUGCCUCCAAACUUUCUCUCCAAAGAACCCUAAUGAGUUUUUGCCUAUAAAGUCACUUUUACACACACUCACAAGUGAGUGGCAUAAGUGAAAUUGAGGCCAAUCCUCAUGUAUAGCCAGCUACCCUAGUGUAGGUGGGCUUGUGUCUCAUUUUGUUUAAGUUGUCCUACAAAGUUUAAUGGACCUUAUGGAUCAAAGCCCAUUGGGCCUAGAAAACCCAAAACUAAUUUGAAGCCUAAUACAAACCUUUCUUAUAAUAAAUAACUAAUUAAUUAAUUUUGACCAUACACAAUUAAACUAUUUAAUUGCUUAUAUCCAUCCCAGUUACAUAUUUUUCAUCUCACCCUAAUAUGAUGUAUGAUCCAUUAGGUUCCAAUUAGCGAGGCAGUGAAUGAUUGUAACUCUUACUAAACAAUUGUGAAUUAAAACUUACUUUCAAUCUCCUUAUGACGAAGAUUAAUGAUUACUAAUCUUCAGGGCUUUCACAAACCAUGAGUGACACCUAACAGCAUGCCAUGACUACCCAAGCCAAUAGAAGUGGUUGAAGAACUUAUUCAGUUACAACUACAAUGCAAUACGGUGCUUCUCUAAUUCAAUACUCCUGACCACAUUGUUUAGUUGAUAAACUGUUUGGUGGAGAGUUUAUUUCAUGUCUACUAUCCAAUACGAUACUUCUGUAUAUGAUUCUAGUGAAUAUGAUUUGGAACAUUAUUCCUAAGUCAUAUUCAUAUGCUUUGGCCAAACACUCUCGAAUCAUAUCUUAGAGUAUUUUUCUUCUGCUAUGGAAGGUUAGAGGUCCCUUGUUGUACACUUACAUGUCUCUACGGAUAAAUUAAUGAUCCCAACAAUGCUAGGAACAUGGCCAAGAUGAGGCAUGUACUUUGUUACAUGGUCAAAUGAUGAAAGACAUACCCAAAAGGCAUAUGUGGUGUCUCAAGAAAAAUGACUACUUGUAUUUGUGUGUAUGUAUGUAUAAGUAUAUAUACAUAUAUACAUAUAUAUAUAUAUAUGUUAAUGUAUGUCUAUGUCCAUGUAUAUAUAUAUAUAUAUAUUAUGCAUAUGUAUAUGUACUUUCGUCUUAGGACUGACAUUAUUUUGCUUCACCGGCUAAUUAUUCGAAAUGCCGUCAAAUUUGAGCAUUGGGUGUUGACGCACUCCUUUAGUUAAUUUAUAGAGGUAUUCAUCAAUUUCUUUCCUGAACUUGUGAUUAUUGGCCAAUUUUCCCCCUCAACUUUAAUUUUGGCCAAUUUCCUCCCUCAACUCUCAUAAUUAGUCAAUUCCCCCCCUCAACUUUAAUUUGGCCAAUUUCCCCCCUCAACUCUCAUAAUUAGUCAAUUUGCACCCUACUGUUAAUUUUUUUAAUUUGAUCAUAAUUAAACAAGUGUGUGUAAGAAACUAAAUAAUAUGUAUGUUAAUCAUUUUCCUAUGUCUUUAUCCUAUUACAAAUAGAUUAAAAUUUAGAAUUUUACAAUUUAUCAUAGAUAAUAUUAUUAGUCAUAAUAAAUCAGUAUGGAGUAAUUUUAUUUGAUUUUUUACUAUACAAAAUUGAUAACAAAAAUGAUUGAUGUGUACAUUUUUGUAUGUGAAUACAAUUUUCUUUAUGAAAGUGAAAGCAAAGUUCAAGUAAAUUGCGGAGAAUCGAGCUUUAGUGCAAAAAUGGCUAGUCAAUUCAUAAUUUUCGACUCCUUAUUAAGAAUAACCCAUUUUAUUGAAAUAGGUCUGAUCCAUGAGUUUAGGAUUAUUAUUUCUUCUUCUACAUGCUUUAAACCCGAUUCAUAACUUUUUCUUAUAAUCAACCCAUAUCACAUACUAAUUGUAUUAUGUUUUUGUACAUUUUACCCUAUAUUAUGCAGGUGAGUUUAUGUUAAUUUUAGUACUUUGUUGGAAGUGAUUAGAAAUAUUGAAAGAAAGAAAAAGAAUAGAUGGAAAAUUAAAAAAAAUUAAUAGUAGGGUGCAAAUUGACUAAUUAUGAGAGUUGAGGGGGGAAAUUGGCCAAAUUAAAGUUGAUGAGAGAAAUUGACUAAUUAUGAGAGUUGAGGGGGGGAAAUUGGCCAAUGGUCACAAGUUCAGAGGGGAAUUGAUGAAUACCUCUAAUUUAUAAACUAACAUGACAAGUUUUUCAAUCCGCCACACCGCGUGGGCAAAAUUUUUUGUGAAAAUCGAACAUGGAGGUACUUGAGAAACAGUUUCAAAACCGCAAAUGUUUUGCACUCGAAAAGGCAUCUACGCAACUUAAGACACAAGGAUGAAGAUAGUCCGAGAUCAAGUUCCACAACUUUACACCGGAUAUCAGUGCAAAUCCAAGCAUCCACACCAGAAGCAUCCUUGAUUCCGCCCUGGUAAAGAGAACAUUUUUCCAUCUGCGUGACAAAACGUUGCAGCUCUCUUACAACAAACCUCAGCCCUCCAUUUUUGUAGAUUAAAAACCAGCGGAUGUGAUGAGUUGAUAUGCACAAUACGCAGCUCAUGCCUGAAAAAUAUAAUGUGGUACAGUGGUACCGGUCUGUUUGUCAAUAGGACUGGAGUGCUUUGUGGGUUUGUUUGUUAUGCAAGAAAAGAGUUGCCAAGAAAAUCGACCGGGAACAAACUCUGGAAAAAUUCUCCCCAAAACGACUUAAACGGAAAGCUUGAGAACUUAACUAUGUUAUGUCAGUACUAACUAUAAUCUUAGUUUUGAGCAUUACAAUACAAAGUCCAGAAGGACAAAAUUGGAGUCAUCGUCAUCGUUGAGACUCAAGAGUGUAUAUAUCUUCACCAAAAAUUUCAUUUGUGAUACUUUUGAUCACAGCUCCAAUAGCUCAGGAAAGUACCAAGUUUGCUUACCAGUCAGGUCAACGAUCUUAGAACCUUACCAAUUUAAUUCUUGUAUGAUAGGUGAUCCGCAGAGUAUAUCUUGAGUGCAGUCGUAACGUAAUCACUCUGUCAUCAGCAAGUAAGAAACAGCUAUAUCCAUUCAGAGACACCUUACUGAGUGACGUCAGACUUCAGCUCUCUGUUCACAUAAUCCAAGUAUCCCUGACAAAUAUGGAAAUAUAAAUUCCUGUUAGCACCCAACACUCUGAAAACUGAUUGAGAUGAAUGCUAUUUGUAUUGUCUACCUGAAACAACCAAAGAAUUAGUUCUCGUUUGAUAACCACCAUUUCACAUGAUUGAGAUAUGCAGAAAGUACAUAUGGGAGAAAGGAUAGAUGAAGAAAGUUGGUGGGAGAGAAGAAAUAAAGAAUAAUGAACGAAAAUGAAAUCUUGAGAGGGAAAACAACUCACAGUAGCUUUUGGUUUUUAGUUUUCAUUUUGUGUACAUUUCUUCUACAUCUAUCAUAAAUUUCCCCAUAUCUCAAGCAUAAAUAGUGAAAAAUAAAAAACUAAAAAAAUGGUCAUCAAAAGGGUCCCUUACAAUAUUUAUUCAGUUUUAUCUAGCACAAUCCGACACCUUUCAUUGGAUUCUAUGUAACAGAAGAAAACAUACAAAGCUACCUGGAGUAUACCAACAGCAGCAAACUUGUCCAUAAUUGUCUUGGACUGAACUGGAGGCAGAUUCAAAGGCUUCAACAGUAGUUCCACAUUCUGUUUGCGGUAAAAUAGAAUCUGAGAUUCUAGAUCGCUUACAAAAUAAGGAUACUUGUUGUGUAAUUUGUAAUAAUAGCCUAACUCUUAAGUGUAGGCUGCUCUCUUGCCGGCAAACAAAGUACAAGCAAGAUCUUUAACAUUUGAAACACAAAAACUGCAAAACCUAACGGAUAGUAAAUUAACACUAGACACAUCCAAGUUAGCAGCAGUGCCCAUAUGAUGAAUGAAUAGUGUGUCAGAAGCAUCAUGUCACAAGACUAAAUAAUUUUCCCACACUAUAUGCACUAACCUUUGAUGUAAAUCCCUCGUCCCAAUAUGUAUACUUUAAGCCUUCCAGUUUUCUUGUCUUAGAGAGGUCGUCAAUGAAAAGCUUCACUUGGACAGCCUAAACAAAGACGAGCAAAUCAUGAUAAAAAAAAAAUGAGAGUCCCCACAUAGACAACUCAAGCUAAGAAUACACACAUCAGGAGUCCCUUUUUGUCUGUCGAACGGGUAUCCAACAAUGAAGCCCACCAGAGAAAGCUCAGAAAUCUGCAUACAGAAACAGAAGGAAUUAUGAAUCUGACUUGGGAACUAACAUGGACCAAGGUUUCAAACAGUCUUACAUCACUGAUGUACUAUCAUGUAUGAUUUGUACGCAUGCUUGGUUACAUGCCUGUUACGCCUAGAAAUCUAAUGAUAUUGAAUACAUGGGUAUGACCAGGAGAAACCAAAGUUCCUAAACUCAUGAGAAGUUCAGAACCAAUCACGAAGAAAAACUAAACGCAUAUAGAUAUCUUUGAGGCAGCAUUGAUAGGUACAUUCUUCGAUAUGGUCAAUAUUUGCAUGCAAAUAUCCAAAAAAUUAAAAAAAGAUAUGGUAAGGGGGGGGGGGGGGUUGAACUUCACCUCUUAUCAGAGAAACGAUUAAGUUUAGGCUAAAAUCGACAUAUAGUCAAUAUUGCUGACACAUCUGUUAAAAUAGCGGAGAAACUCAUAUUUCGUUCAAACCAAAGUUUGACAACAUACCCAAAGUUUCAUUUUAAAUUUCCAGAAUUUAACAGUGCCAGAACAUCUGUAACUUCAAUUUCCAGAAUUUAACUUGUAAAUGGCCCUUCAAUUAACAUAAACAAGUAAAUAAAAUCAGGAAAUGAACAAAAAACAAAAAAAAAACUCACCAAACUCUGAAAAUCGGCGGCCAUCAAACCAAUAUUUGAUUUCUUCCUCAACAGAACACUGCGGAGCAUCAAAUAUUAAGAGACCCAAACUCAUAUGUGAACCAUAAUUUGAAGAUUUACAGGAGGAAAUUAUUCCAGUACCUCAAGGGCGACGCAAUCUUGUUAUGAAGAUCCGAAACGGCUACGCCGACGUACUUGUCACCGACGUCCAAACCCAGCAACCGCCCGCGUUCCAGAGUAUUGGCCUUGAGCAGAUCCUGGAACAAGUUCAGCGGCUUCACGUACCUCAUCUAAUUCGAUGCGAAUUUGUCCCAAAUAUAUUUGAUGAACUCACUUAUGGAUUUUGUCCUACACUUACGGCGUCGACUGAUUAGCGAGGGUUUUCUUGUUUUUUUGGUUUUUAAACAAACCAUGUUAUGAGGAGAGGUUUAGUUAGGGUUUAAAGUUCAUUAGGUUCUUACCUGUAUAAUGAUUAAUGAAUAGUUCUAAUUCGUUUUCCACAAUAAUCUAACUUUAAACUUCUUACUUAUAAAAUAAAUAAAGGGAAAUUUUAGUUGAACUCAUCUAAUCUAUUUCUACAUCCAACAUACUCUUUGUACCCAUUUGAUUUUUAACUAAACUAUUAAUAUCUCUUUAAACCCAAAUUUGAUACCUAAUACACCCACAUAAACCCAAUUCAAUAUGUGGAUUUAUUUUUACACCCAUUUGAUAUUUAGAAGCUAAAUUUGAUGUGUUCAGACCUAAGUUCUUUGCAUGGUUUUCCACAACACAAAAGCUGAUAAUUCAAGUGUCACCUGCAUGCUAAAAAUCACUUCGAAAAGCGAUCUGUAUAGUUAUGGGGUUGUCAUUUUGGAGAUCAUAACUGAGAAAAGAAAAGGCCGGUGGACCCAUCAUUCACAGAUGGGCAAGUCUGCAAAUUUACGAGAUAAAAAUCAAUGGCUCUCAAGGCCGUUCAUGUCUUUGAUGUUCCAAACCUCGAUCAAGUCACAGAAAAUGCUGCUGCAUUGGCCAUACAUUCUCCGUGGUUGGCUCAAGGUCUCGGCAUUUUCCAUCGAAUUAAUUUCUUGUGAUGUUUGUACUCGUGAGGAGCUAUAUUUAAGUAUCGUACUGUUUUGUGUUAUUUUCUAUGAUUAUAAAUGUUAUAUUUCCACAGGCUGAAUACUGGAUGAUGAGAGGGCAAAAUUAUAUGCAAUGGUGGUCAACAAAGGUUUUUCUGUGAGAUUUGCUUUUGCUGCUGCAAUUUUUGGCAAAUCCUCAGAAGCUCUUUUCUGGCUACAGCUGCCUUGUACUCUUAACCAUUUGUUGAAUAAGAUGGUAAAUAAGUCUCCGCAAAAAACCCCUGCUUCAGCAUUCGUUCCAGAGAUUGAUGAUGCAUCUAAGCUUAAUAGGAUAACAUCAAGGGACCUGGAUUGUCUGCCCUCUCCCAUCCCAUACCCUUCCCAUCCCUUCCUAUUUCUGUGGUUACGGUUAAGCCACGUUCAACAUUUUAUAUUGAUUUUUUUUAGAGAAAUAAUAAGAUAAAAAGCAAUGAGAAUAUAAAAUGUUGACAUGGCUUAACCGUGACCACAGAAAUAGGAGGGGAUGGAAAGGGUAUGGAAUGGGGAGGGCAGACAAUUCAGGUCCAACAUCAAAAGGAAAGUCAGUUUCUGGAACAGAACAUAAAGAUGCAAUGGUAAGUUGCAUUUCAAGAUAAUAUUUUUCCCAAAUUUUGUGUACAAGAUUUAAGCUAGGUUGCUACGUUACUCACAUUUCUCCUUAUCUUGUGCUCUUCAAUUCUAAACUAUUGUGUGAUAUUUCCUUUAUAUAAGCUUUUGUAACAUCUUUAUGAGAGCUAUUAGGAUUUUAGCCGGAAUGAACGUAGGAUAAACAAAGAAUGAUGGUAAGAUUUAAUUAUAAUGUUUGGGUUUAUUGAUAAAUUUGAGUUUUAUUACUAAUUUCAUUUUGUACUUAAUAGUAAUUAUGCAAUACGAUAAAAUAGAUAAUUAACAUUUAAAAUUUUAAGUUGGGUGUAAAAAGAGGUUGAAUGAGUUUAAAUAAAAUUUUCCUAAAAUAAAUGAAUAGGAUACAACUAGCCUCUUACAGAUUACUGUUUAAUCCUAAUUGUUGAAUUUGUUUAAUUUAUUCAACCCAAUAGCCAUAGACAAACAGGAAAACAUGAGAUGCUAAAAAACGUGUGAAAGGGGCUGCUUUACUCCAUACAACUGAAAGUUGCAUUUAUAACUUCAGAAACAUUUCCAGGGCGGAAAAAACACAAAGGGGAAAACUCGUCAUAUAGCUCAAGAAAUUAAAAUUUAGGACCAUCUACGUGAGCUGAAAUCAUGGUAAUCAAUUGAAUAAAUUAAAUGAUGGCCUACAAACAAUUUUCUUUUUAACGUUUCACCCUUCCAAAUGAGAAAACAGAGAGAGACUAUCAAGCUUGGCACGUCGUUUAGCCGCCCUUCUGAAAGGUUUCCGAUUUCGCCACCAUAAACGUUCUAUCCCGCUAGAACACCUAUAAACAUUGUUGGGGUUCUUUUGUGCUAGACCGGACUCCGCCUUCUUUGGGUUCGUCCUGCACUUUGCAUGCGUAGGAGAGGGCGUUUUGGGCUCUACAGAUUUCGCAUCAGUACAUCUGUCGAAGCAUGCAUUUUGGGAGAACCAGUUAUUGGACACGCAUGGUAUAGGAUACAAUAAAUUUGGAGGAGACCAGACUGACCUCUCUUGAUCCACCGCGGGUUCACAAGACAACUCUUCUCCUAGAGGCUGACAUGCAGGGCAUAUGUAAACCUUUGGUGUGGAACGUAAUUUAAUGCAAUCAAAGUGAUACCACUCAUUACAUUGGUCACACGCAAUCAUUGCUCGUUGAUCAUACGGCUUUCGGCAAAUGCAAUAAAGCAUACUCCGAGCUUUCAACAACUGAAACAAGUAAGCAUUUUUUCAUAGGGGGUCAGAGAUCAGCACAGUUUAUUAACAAAAGGCCACAGCACAUAAUUAAGAUGAAAGCCUCCUCUGUACCUUAAGUUCCUUCUCUAGACGAACAGGCAAAUUUUCACCCUCCGAAACAAGUUCAAAAACUUUAUCCAAGGGGAGAGCCCCAGAAUCGGCAGCAACCUGUGCACAAAAGGCAAAUAAGAGAGGAGAGGAGAGAGAAAAAGAGAAGAUAGGAGAAAGAGAGAGGACAGAAAAGUGCUCCUAACCUUCUUAGCAGUAUCUGCCCACUGCAAACCAAUAAUCCUCACUUCUGUAAGUUUCUGCCAAUAAUAAUCCGAAGGCGGAAUGUUCAAGGCAGCUCCCUAAGCAUUGAAGAAAAGACAAAUAAAUGCAUGAAUAUUAACUACAGAAAAAAUAUACGAUAUUCUUUCCUGCUAAAUUGCUAUUCUUGAUAAAGGUUUGCUAUUUUGGACAAUCAAGAGUAACCUCACACCAGAACAUUUGUUUUUGCCUUAAAAGUUGAAGUUCAAUGUAUUAAAUGCUUUUUCUUUCAUUUCUUUAGUUUCUAAAAGCAAAAAAACUGUAGCCCCCAUUUCUCGGUAUCCAGUACUCGUGCACAAGCAAAGAAAUUUCUCGAUCUAAUAAACAACUGUUGGAAAAUGUUUUCCAUGCCACCGUUUGGUCAAAAAAAAACCAGAGGACUGAGAAAUUGUUGCACGAGAAAUCCAUCUUAAGAACAUAGAACGCGCUUCAAAUUCAUUUAAUAUCAGCAGGACAUACCUCUUUUAACUGCUGCUGAACCUGUUGGAUUGUGGGCUUUUGUGAACCCUCCAAUAACCUAUUGACUCUGACUUUCCAUGAGUAUCUUGAUAAAGCCAACAUAAGGUUGAUAUCACCUUCAUGAUCAUGCACACCCUGCAUUUCUCUGGCCUGUAUAACAAAAACAAUUUCAAUCACGAAGAUGUACCAAGCCUAUAUCAAGGUCGUUCCCAUCAACAGAAUAUACCAAGAUUGGUUAUUCUCCAUUUUUCUUUUCAAUUUCUGGAAGACUAGUUUUCUAACAACAUAACUAGCAAAUUCCAACCCAAAGGCAUUUAUACUAGAUGACAAAGCCAAUGGGUCCAUCAUAUUUAAAAUAAAAUAAAAUAGUUCAACACUACAGCAAAACACUCCUUAAGAUACCUUUAAAGCUGUUGUUAGUUUUUCAACGAGCACACUGAGAUCCUUAUCAGAAUAAGCUAAUGCAAAAUCCACUAAUUCUGUCAAGCGAGAUUUGCAUGCUAGAGCUUGCUUCAAAACUUCUUUCAGUACAUCUCUUUCUUUAAUACUGUAAAUCCAAAACAAUGUUAAUAAUUUCAAUAACUUUAAGAACAAAGCAUGAAUAAACAAGUAACUUAAAAGAGUGCACUUCAUUACCAAACACAGAAGUCUUCUUCACCAGAUAAAUGUUCAAUAAUUUUUUGAAGUUCUGGACGCAUCCCACCAAGUUUCUAUACCAUAUAAAUAGGAUAUUAAAAUAGAUAUCAAACAUACAGCCUUCCUUACAGAAUAUACUAGACAAAUUAAAUACAUACCAGAGUACUGAGCCCACUUCGAGAAGAAGUUCCAGAUACCAGAUAUCGGCAACAUGGGCAUUCAUAUUCUGCAUGUUUUCCACCUACCAUGGAAGACCCUAGACACCGCAAAUGGUAGCUGUUCAAGAAGAUAUCAAGUUAUAACCUAUAACAGAGGGGAAGAUUUACAGGAAUUGUGUUUCUUGCUUGAAAUUCUUCAUAGUAAAAACAAGUGAUUGAAGUGCAAAAAUAAGAUUGAAAUAGCAACCUAAUGUGAAACAAUUAAGUACUAAUAAUAACAUGUAAGGGUGAAGAACCUGCAAAACUUUACAAUAGCAAUAAAUAACUUACCAGUCCUUGCAUGAAGAACAAGUGAGAAAUUCCUGAUCCAGAGAACCACUGGAGCAGCAAGCAAAAGAACUACUCUCUUUCAAGCCAUGUGGUUUCUCAUAUAUGUGUAUACAUCUCUUUAGAGUCUGUCCUAUCUGUGAAUCAAUAACAACGAUUUAAGUCCCCCCGGAAAACAUUACAAUUAGAUGUAAUAAAUUACAGUUUUAGCUGAAAACCUUUUCUAAACCGCCAAGCAAUGAAUUAUCAUCUCCAACUACUAUCCUGAAAAUAUCCAUGCACUGUUGUUUCCAACUCUCAACCCUUUCAACUUCAGAUACAAUCAAAUCUAGUUCUGUGCAACUGAAAGCAGCAGAAACUCCAAGUUCCUGAGUGCAAUUGAAUCAUAUUAGGCAUGUUUUCAGGAAUUUAAGUACAUAAUCGAAUGUAAUUUAACAAUCAAUAUAAUUGACAAGAGAAAGCAGGCAAAAAUUAUACAACAUUGACCAAGCCAAAGUGUUGUACUCUUCAACAAUCAUAGAAGUCAUCAGUUAUAAUCAAACAUCACCUAUGCUGAUCCAUUAACAUUAUAAAUACAAGUGAAGACAUUUAUUUAAAGGUGAACUGCUAGAGAACGAAGAUGAACUUUGUCAUUUCGAAAGCACUAAAGCAUGUAUAAGUGCACAAACUGACUUCAUACCUUUAGCUGUAAUGUUAGAGACCAAGAUCGUUCUCCUGGCCUUAGGCUGAAAAGUUGAUGCACUUGCUCAAGCCAGGACCUACAAUACAUUUACAAUUACUUAUUAUAAAUCAUACUGGUAAUGCAAGAGAGGUCAAUACAAAUUGAAAAUUGUGUAAUUUUUAAUCCCUGCAUUGAAAACCCAGAAACCAAAAGUUUUUUGUUUGUUUGUUGUUAUCCAGUUUGUUGCAUGCUUAGGCCCAAAUGGUUUUCCUUUGCCUCAAGAUCAAAAGGGAAAAGGUACAAUAAAUCAGACCACCCAAAGAGAUCAUAAAAUGAUAUUAGCAGAAAACAAGCCACUGGAUCAUGCAGCAUCCCCGAAGUUCUAGUAUACAAGUUUUAAGGACCAAUUCAUUCCAAAAGUUCUUUCCUUCAACUUGAUAACUAAACAUCAAAACAUUGCUUAAUACAAUAAAAUCAUGACAGAACUUUUAUUUCUACCUAGUAGAAGCAGAACCAACAUAAUAUUACCAAAUAAUAUGUAAACAAAUUUGGAAAUAAGUACUUUUUUUUUUCUAAAGAAAUAAUUUUGCAGUGACAAUAGUAUUUGAAAAACACUUUUCUCAAACACUCAGAUUAUUAGCCUCAUUUUCAUAUUCUGCAACAGCCUGGACUUGUAGCAUCCAUACCAAGUCCUUGAAGCUUUUUCAAUUUCCUCCCACAAAUAUAUCAAGUGAUGCACUUCAGUUUAAAAUGUGAAAGUAAAACAAUGGACAGGUCAAAAGACACUGCAAGCUCACAUGUGUUUCUGAAUAGCACAUUCAAGUUGACCAACCAUCAAUGGGAAGGAGACACUGAUACUCUGCAAAAGAAGAUGAUACAGUUUAGUAUGGCAAGUAUAAAAAUAUCCAUGUAUAGAAUUGAUUUGAAAUAUUACCAGAAAAUAAAAACACCUGAGAUUUAGAAAGAACUUCUUCAGCUUCACUUAAAGUGCAUCUUUUAGAAUUGCAUGAUGCAGAAAUAACCUUUGUAGCAUGCUCAAGCCAUUUCAGCCCUUCAACCAACGAGCCCCACAAUGCACUAGGGGCAAAUGUACCACAUAAAUUUUCUGCAGCACUCGCCAAAUUUUCAACAUCCUACAACAGAAAUGAUAAGUCUCCGUAAGAUUGCCAAUCAGAAAGGCAUUGUAUAGAAAGUAAAAAGAAUCAUAGUGUUAAAACAAGGCACAUGAAAACCAAGCAAGACCAAGAUAGCAUCCUCGUCAUUCCACCACUAGCACCAAGGUAGCUUAAAAAUCACAGGGAAACUUUUUUAAGUUGGUCUAUGUAAUACUGAUUUACACUUGCUUAGCAACUUGAGCCUUGCGUUCAUUUUGAUUGUGGUGGGUUGAGACUUGGGAUUGUCAUUUCAUUUAGGGCCAAUAUUUACUCUUCCUAAUUCCUUUUCUCUUUCUCAGCUCUCUAGUCUAUGUCCUCGCCAUCUCUCCCUUCUCUUUGAUUGAAAAAAAUGAACAAUAAAAGACAAAAAACAAAAAAACAAAACUUCUGUAAAAAACAUGCUUCUAGUUGUACGGAAAACUAGGAGUCCUGGAUGCGAUGGACAAACAGUGAUACACUUUUUAUGAUGUGUCGGACAAACAUUGAUACAUUCCUUGUGCUGUGCCUUGGUCCAUCAUAUUUCUCUAUCAUGUAUAUAUUGCAUUAAUUGGUACAAGAGCUGGUCGCUACUCCACCACUAAAUGCAUUUUAUCAUCCUAAUGAAAUAAGUAGAGGAGAUGCUCUACACCUGCAAACAUUUUCAGAUUAAGAACUAUAAAUUUCAAGCACUUCAAAGAUUUAGCAAUUGUCCUUUCAACUUGAAGGCGAAAUGUUAGUACUAGGAAGCAUGGAGGAUCAAGUCAUGGGAAUAUUAACGAUUCUAGUGAUAUCUCUGUUGAGAAUAUCGCAUUUAAGAAUGGGAAAAACAGAACAAACUCCGGAAAUCGAAAAACAAAUAACCAAGAUUAAUAACACCAAGAAUUUACGUGGUUCAGCAAUAUGUGCCUACGUCCACGGGAUAGCAACAACAAUCAAUGAGUACAACCAAUAAUCUUGCCAAAUCUCUAGAACUAGGACUUGACGAAAAACCUGAAAAAACAAGAACAAGAACAAGAAAUACACUAUCUCUUUUCUUUUCUCAUGCACACACUUUACAAUAUUCUCUCACUCUAAUCCCUUGAGUGGUAUACAAUUUAUUGUUUUGCUCCCUUCCUUCAAAACUAGUACCAUAGCCCCUUUAUAUAGACAUAAUAAAGGUCUUCUUCAAUAAGGAUUAUUAAUCCUAAUUGGAAUCUAGUUAUGAAUCCUACUCCAAUUGAGAAACUAACUCCAAUUGGGAAAACAACUCCAAUUGGGAAAACAAUUUAAUCCUCUAAGACUAUAAUUCCUUAUAGACUUAGAACAACUUAUCAUGGGCUGGAAAAACCUAACAAACUCUACCAGUAGUCAUAACUGGAUUUAGUUGGAAAUGCAAGGGGAAAACGGAUAUACUACCACAACUAAAACUUAAGCAUCAUGUUGUACGAUCACUAUUGCAAACUCAUACGAAGUUGAGCACAACCGCAACACAAAAUUUGAUUACUAUAGGAGUAUGAAGUAUCACCUCAAGGGGAGGAACUCCAAUGCUGAAAGAAAGAGCCUUCUUACACCAUUGCAGCACAGAACAAGCCUCCUUAAGUUUCACAAGCUCGCCAAAGUCAAAGGAAAGAGAUAAACCAGUGCUUCCCAUGGAUUUGAUUCUUGCAAUUAGAUGUUCAAUCUUAGAAAGAAGACCAUCUCUUGUUCCAUCAUCAACAAUCCUCAUAUCAAAUAGGCACCUUGUAUCUUGCAGUAGACAGCAAGCGCCAUUCUCCCAUUCCUUACAGUUCAUCAAAACAGUCUCAAGCAUCCUUAUUUCUUUCAAAGAAACCUUCAGAGGCUUUGACUCAGAAACUAAUUCCUGCAACAUUAAACCAUAUUGUCAUCCAGGUCUUUCAAUCUUUAGCAAAGAAAACAAACAGGAGACAUUUGAGAACCUUCAAGGUGUCGACAUUCAGCAAAGAACUUGAAACAGAUACCACAGGAGAAGUCAUUAAAAAUGGCUUUGACUUCCUCAACCAGAUCUUAGCCUUUGAUAGUGCAUCCUUGACAUCAUGGAGAGAAGAUAAAUGCACAUGUAUGUCUUCCGAACUCCUAAAACAUUCAAAUCAAUUAUUAGAACCAGCAAAGGAACUUAUCCACGAACACCCAUAUGGUUAAAAAAAUGUAAAGCAUGUUGAAGACCUGAUAACAUCCUCAAAGUCAGAUAUCUGAGCCUUGUGUGCAAGGAUAUAUUUCGCUCUUUCCUCCCACAGCAUGGCAACAGCUAACACUUCAGACAUAUCAACAAAUAACUUCUCCCCCUCAACAUGUAACCUGAAAGAGAAACACCAAUUGACCAAGGGUGAAUGCAAAUAUAAUCCAGAGUCUUCAGUUCACACUUGUAACAGGCAUCAAGGUUAAGGAACAUACAUUCUUGCCUCCAUCAUCACUUCUUGAAUGAAGUCCAGAGACAAUUUAGUAUCGCAUCUGCAUAUAUUCCAAGUAAAUUAUAUGCAUUUGGGUGUCCAAUUAGGAUUCAAACACAAAAAACAAGUGAAACAACAUAGGAGCAGGCCAGAAGAAGGGGGAGGGAUGGAUACCCAGUGGGUCAGCUUAGGCCCACUUAACUUCUUGUGUACACACUGCAAUUUUGCAACAUGGCAUGCACAAACUCACAUAGACACAAAUCCAAUGGGCCAGCUAAUCCCAUUGGGUACCCACAACCAUCUAUAGAGGGAGGAAGGGAAGGAGAAGAAUUACAUACUAAUAGUAACUUACCCUCAGCGCCUUUUCCCUGCACUGAGCCUUCUUCAACUCAAACUCUACGAUAGACAACUGAUCAACUGAUAAAAAACACCAGACCCAAUGUUAGCAACAGGAGAGACCUAUUUCCAUUAUAUGAGUACUGAAAAAGUCAACAUAUUCCAGAACCUUUAAUUUUCAAAGAUGCUCCAUCUGUUAAUAUGAGCAUUAACUCAUUAACUACAUUAGUUUGAUCCUCCCUUUUGUGAAUGUUCACAAGAACAGCAUUAAGACGAGAAAUCCAAGAAACUGUAUCAAUGUGGUACUGCUUCAGAAGCUUCAGCUCUGGUGUGUUUACAGUAAAACCAUCCAAUUGUUUCAGAAGCGCCUCAACAUCCUACAGAAGCCAUGUAUUCAUAAGUACAAGUACUUUAAAUCAUGCAAAUCAUUUGGGUAGCCUAUUAACCAUAUGACUAACCUCAAGGCUAAUAGGACCUUUCAAAAUUUCACCACAUCGAGCACGCCAUGAUUCAGCCGUCCUUAAUAGAUCUGAAAGCCUAUCCAUGUCUGGGAGUUCAACUUGGAGCUCUGAAAUCUGUUUAUUAGAUUCAAGUUUAAGAUCCCAACCACCAAAAACAAAUUGUUAAGUCACAACUCACAACCUAAAAGAUUUAAACAAAACACAAAGUUUGGCAACAGAACAGCAUGCCAGCCAUUAUUACCUCUGAUUUCAAAUUGUAAACAACAUCAAUCCCAAUUGCUGCAGUACGUGUCUCUGAGAUACAUUUUCUUAUGCCUUCCAUCAAGACCUGCCCCGAUAAUGAAGCCAGAUUAUAAACAUUAACUUGCCAUAUACCAAGAAUACGUUAUAGCUAGAAUUAUUGUUAACUCAGGUUUUAGUAGAAUUUGAAUCCAAAUAAAGUAAACUACCUCUGCAGAUGAAAUUUUUUGUAGUAAAUUUUCACUUUCUUUCACAUAGACUGGAAGCUCACAGGCUCUAGAAUACAACAAUUUCAACUCCGAUAUCUGGAGGGACAAUUGUAAACAAAUGUUAAUCAUUAUGAAUGAAGUCAAAUGAGAUCACACUAAUUGAUAGUGCUAUUUGUAGACAUCGAAAAGAGACAAUGCCUAUUUUCUUCAUGUACAUGCGUGACCAGAGAAAAGGUGAAUUUCUUGAGCUUUGCUCUGGCCCUGGCCUUUUUCUUCACAUUAGUAUCUUAAGAACACUGUUAGAUAAACUCAUGAGAAAAUAGACUUAAGAGAAAUAGAGAAAAACCUUUAGGCAUGAUGACAUAGCAGAUUCAAUUUCCUGUAUCAACAUUUUUGCCUUUUCUGCAUAGCCCUGUAUCACAUAAUCACACACCUGGUAAGAUUCUUAGUUGGCAAGCCAAGGAUAAGCACAAACUAACAAUUACAACCACUCAGAAAACUGUAACCUUCAAAUUAUGAUGCCCAGUCUCGUAACAGGGCACCGCAUCAAAACUCAGCAACUCAUUGAUAUAAUCCAAGUGAACUUUCUCGAUAUUGUUUCCAUGAUGAGAUGACCAAGUUUCAAGUUUAGAUAGACAAUCUCUUACACCUUCAGCCCAUUUCUGAAAUCUGAUCAAAUUCUUGGUUGUUUCCCGCACCUAUAUUUCAAUGUGAAAGUAGAUGAGCAUAAUGUCUGUUAGGUAAAAUUUCAGAACGUAGCAGAAGAUAAAAAGCAGUUAAAACUCACAGGAUUCAUCUCUGAGCCAGCCCAAAGAAACUGUUCAGCUUCUUUUAAUAAAGACACAUACUCAUCUCUUGAAAAUGGAUUCUGAGAAAUCUUGCAUGAGCGCAAAAGCCAUUGUUCUGCAAGUUGAGCAAAAGUGGCAUGGCCCCCUUUGACCUACACGCAUUGCAUGGCCUCAGAAGCACUCUAAAAAAAUCCACAUGCUAAUACAUCACAUAGUAGGCACCACAUUUGUUGAGUAAGUCGGUUAAUGUUAAAAAUCACGCAGGACAUUCUUAGAAAGAAAUAUAGAUUAACAUUAAAAACCCAAUCCAAAGCAUGAUGAUAGUCAGCCUAACAUUAUCAGUCAAGAUAAAAAAAUCCAACCUUUUUUGUCAAAGCCGUUGGUUCAUCAGUGCAUGAGAUAUGCCUUCUUAUAGUCCUACUUUGUGUUGUCUCCUCAAAACCAUGUUUAUCCAUUUCGAGGACCAAUUCAUGCAACUCUGCCAGAGAAUGACGAUAUAAAAGACGGAGUCUUCUGGAUUUGCAUUCGCAAAGGUGUUCCCAAUGCUGCACAAAAGGCAAAGUAUUUUUGUGAGAAUAAAGCAAAUGGGUUGAACAGUCAGACUUCCAAGUUCCUAGUCCAACCAUGUUCAUAAUUUUAUUUUACAGAGUAAAUAGUUAUCAUUAUAAUUUAGUUAGUACAAGAGAAUUCUUAGCAAGGUAAGGAUAUGAAACAAAGUUAUCAACUCUGGGUUAUAGAGAUCAGGUAAUUAAUAUCACCUAUCAAACCCCUAAUGAGAACAGAAAAAAAAACAGUCGGGUUUUAUCAUCUAAACUAAAAAUUUCCAACCAAGUAAUCUGCAUUCUGACUCAAUACCCCCAAACAUUGAAAAAAAUCUACUUACAAAUAUUAUCCAUAUCUUUGUUAGGAUGCUAAAAGAUUUGGAAUCAUGUAUAAUAGUAUGUAUAAUAUACUUGAAAAUUUUAUUUUACUCUUUUGUCCUCAAUCAAUCUAUAUAAAAAUGGAAUGUAUCUAAAAUUAUAUAAUUCUUUUUCAGUUUUUCCUUCCUCUCAUCUUUCCUUCUGAUAGGAUAAGGGAAACUUUGUAUCUUUGCUUUUAUUUCCUCUAUUCCACCUCAUGAUGUUCACUCCACCGUUAAAGGUUGAAUAGAUAAUAUCUAGGUGAUUGGUCAUUGCAUCACCUCCAUCAACUUAAAAUAAUUGGGAAAAAAAAUCUCCAAAAAAGAACAAUUGUGCAAACAUGUGCUUUUAUUUUUCUCCAUUCAAACUAUAACAAUCCCAUGCAAGGUUUAUAUGUGCAUGGGUUGGGAUCAUAUGUUACAUCUGAACUGAAUUUACACACAAAUUCAAAACAGAGGGAGGAUUCGAAACAGAUUCUGAGAAUCACAUACCUCCAGACAUACAAAUGCAGAUGGCCUACAACGACAAACAACAGCAGAAAGAAAAAGAUACUGUUGGCAUAUAAUGCAUGUAGGAUCCUACAAAAACAAAACAGCAGGAAAUAUCAUUAUCAUCUGAAAAUAAUUAAAGUUGCACAGCAUAUGCCCAAACACAAGGACGUAAUGCAGUAUGGCAAGUACCUCUUCGGUACCAACAUACUCAGGGCAUGUCCGAGAGGACAUAAGGGACGAUCUGAUGAUCCCUUUCCUCCAAAGGCGCUCCCUCCAGGUUUUUUCCUUAUUGUAGAUUCUAGUCAAUUCUUUCUUCAAAUAAGUUGAUACUCUGCUGUCACAGUCACUCUUCUAAACCAAAACAAAAUUAAGCGCAUGAGACCUAUAAUUCAGUUAAGUGACUGGAGACAGAAUUUAAGGGGAGAAAGGAAGCCAAUAAACAAUGUUGGCAAAAGAAAACUACUUUUGCAGCAUUAUUGACUAUAAUUUGAUAAUCAGACGUGAAAACCUUUUUUUAACAAUAUACAUUGAUGAGUGUAAGCUAUGCAGCCAAGGGCUAUCCAACAAACAUUAUUAUGCUUUCAAAAAGUACGUAAUAUACUAAUAUAUAAAGUUAAAAGUAAAAUGUCUUAUGAGUUUUUUUAGGUCUAUAAAAUAUAUCAAAACAUAUAAAAAUUAUAAAAACAGUUUCUUUCUGCUUAUCUUUUAUUUUUUUAAUAUCCAUAAAAUAAUAUAAAAAAACAAAAUCUUAAAAAAAAUGCUAAAAGAACCUGUAACAGCUGUUAGUAAAGCGAAAAAAAAAGAAAGAAAAACCAGCCAAAAGUUCGCGUCUUCUUCAUCUUUGCAACUGAAAACAAAACGCAGAUUUCAACCAAAUUUUUUUCAGAUUUCAGCAACUUUUAUACAAAACUGACGCCUAAUCAAACGCCCUGAAGUGAGCCUCAUCCACCCAGGCGCGCCCCGACAAAGCUACACGAGUUUUUCGCCGACUCCCACAAAACAGAAAAGGCAAGCCACCCACCCAGCCUCUGAGGCCGCCUAGGCAUGCCCUGAGGCGAGUAUUUUAAAACACUGGGUAAAACAAUCACAAAUUUUAUUACCAAGCAAACAGGACUUGCAUUUGUGUAUCAUUAUACAAUACAAGCCUAGGUAUUUGUUGUACACAUGCAUAUAGUAGAAUAAGAUGUUCUAUCACUAAAAUUAACCUUGGCUAGCACACAAACAAGCUCCUCGUGAGACAGAACGGCAGUUUUGUGAUAAAGCUGAUACAGCCCUGCUCCAAACCCACCAUGAGGUAGCCAGUCCGCAGGAGCAAAAUUGACAGCUUCUGCACAGUUCAAACCUGAAAAUGCCAGAGCAAAGUGUUAUCCCUGCGCAGCAAUUAACUGAACACUACAUCUACUAACCACUAUCAACUUGUAAAUCAAAAUGCCACACCAAGAUUAAAGCCUCCAUGGUAAGAUCUGGGGAAGGUGAUGACAAAAUUCCCAGGCUCCUAGCAGAGAGCAAGUGUGAAAAGAACAUCAACAAUUACUAAAGAUACCAGAUAGAUGAAUAAUUUAAAAUUGGUAUGUGUAUAAUUAAAGUUGAAAAGGAAACCAUAAAUCCAGUUUUGAAUGUACUUAUAGAAAGCCAUGCCAGAGCAUUGCAUACAAUUGAGAACCUACAGAUUCUUAAUUCAAAAUUCUAUAUAUUACCAAACUCCUUCAAAAGAAAGGGGAGUGCAAAAACAAAGGAAACCUCUAGCAACAUUUCAUUAAAAAGUGAAAUCUCUAGCAACAUAAAAACUACAGUUGUCACUGUGUCUCCCCAUUCAUAUUUUUCUGUGUGAAAAAUUAAUAUUAGCAUUUUUCAGCAUUGCUUUGUCAAUUAUAGAAGAAAGGCUUUCAUAACACGAUAUCGAAUUCAAAAUGCUCAAACCUGUAGCACACUAUAUACAGGAACUCCAUUCUCUUGCAAGACAGAUGGAUUUAACAUGGUGACAAGCUGAAAGAGUAAAUCGGGUUGUGCAUCAAAAAGAUCAGGAAGACUGUUGCGCAUCACCUACAAGAACAUAAGUAAAAAAAUGUGUCUAUAAUAAUCCAGCAUCAGAAAAACACUAUUUGGUUGGCAUAUGAACCACCAAUGAAAGCAAUGGUAAAUAUGAAGCUUUACAGAAUCAGAAGAGAAUUAUAGCAACCAAUGAGAGGUAUGAUUAAAUACAAAUUAAAUUCAUUCCCUUGCCAUAAUAAUGUACUAUAGAAAUUCCGAAUUAGAAAAAAAAAAAAGAACAAAAAAAUUUGACUUACAAGAAGGAUACCAUAAAUGAGAAUGUGCUGAUAUUCUAAGAACAAAUACCAAACCCCCAAAAUAGAUUAAAAGAAUGAAAGGGCUACCUUCUCAAAUGCACUGGCUUCACUACCAGGGACGCUGUACCAACAUUUUGGCUCUCCCCUGAGAAAACAAUAUUAAGCUAACAUUCAAAUCAUCCGCCUUAAGUUACAGAAAGGAAAAAAUAUUUGACUUCUGAAAAAGAGCAAAUAUUUUAUCACUGAAUAUGAAUUGUCACUUUGAAAGCUCACAUCCCACAAGUUUCCUUAAAAAAAAACCCGAAUAUAAUUUAAUGAAGAAAAGGGAAAUACUCAUCCACUACAGAGAGACAACAAAAGAAUAAAACUUUGAAAGUUGUUUUUUUCUCAAAUAUAUGCAAAAGUCUGAAGGUAAUCCAACAGCAUAGCCUCAUAAGUCUACCUACAUAUCGGCCUUCAACUAUGAAACACUUAAUUUUCCAAACUAGUUGGGCAAGAGAUGCAAAGUUGGUUUUUAAUUGAUAAGUGAAACUAAAAAUAGAAAUGACUCGUCACUAUAAGCCAACCACAAUGAGAUGAUACUAGGACAUGGCUGAGGUUAGAUAAUUGUUUCAGUACUCAAAUAAUCAUUAAAAGAACCCAAGGUGCAUGAUUGAAAGAUGACAAAUGGACAGGUUUAAUUUAAGUAAACCAUAAUCAAAGUUAAAAUCAAAACUGGUAUCAUCAACCAGGUAUACUUCAAUGCGAUAACAAUUUCACCAAUGAAUGUACUUUUAUGUUGACUGAAUUCGGCACUGGGAAUAAUCAUCGCAAAAGAAACAUUACUUCCAAAAGUGUAUUUUGUAUGUGAUGCACGUAUGUUUCCUGAAAAUGCUGUCCUCUGGUUAUAACCUAAAAUCUUGUUCAAAAGUCAUCCCGCACAUAGCUUCUUUUGAGUUCUUUUAAUGCACAAUAUUAACAGGGUACACAGAAAUUUUAUUAUUAAUUUCAUAGGAUUCCAUGGGAAAAAAACGAGUGAAAUCAUGUCUUUCUUUUCUUUUCUUUUUUAGGGCAAUAAGGGUGUCUCCUUGUCUUCUCUUUCAUGUUUCUUAACUCUUGUAUUUAUUUGCUGGCCCCAAAUAUUUCUCUCUCAGUCACACACACACAUACACAAACCAAUAGGAGUUGGCAUCUGAUCCUGCUCCAUGGAAUGUGCACAAGUUUACAACUCAAUGGCACUAAUAAUCAUCUUACGUGGAUAGUUUAUUUUGCAUUUGUAGCCAAAAUUAUCUUGUUUAUAAUAUUAAAAAAUGCACAAGAUAUACAUACCAGUGGUGAUAAUUCAUUGAGUAAAAACAAUGAUCUUCAAAAUGCCAGCAAAAAGAUGAGAACAACAUCCCAACAUACAGCCAAGGAACCAUAACACCAGCAAUGUUAUGAUGAACAGCUUGAAGUACUGAUCCUUUCAAUUUGGGCAAGUUAUUGAGAUUCCAUGGGCUACUGCAGUACUCAUCCCAUAUCUUGGCCUCAGCUGAUUCUGGUUUCUGGUCAUUUACACGUGGAAACCCACUCCCAUAUAUGGAAGUAUCCAAGUCACUGCCAUACUUAACUUCCACCUCACCGACUGAACCCUCCACAAUCUCCCAAAACUUUUUCUCUAUUUGCACCCUUGAUGCAGAUCCUGCCCCAAACCAUUUCCUCUUGGAGCGAUUAGCCAUACGCCUAAAAACUUCCAGCGAGAACUGCUUACCAGGAACAAAGCCAAAACUAUCCUUGUCAGAAUUCAAGCAAUCCAAACAAUACCAAUUCCCUGGCGGAACCUGUUUCAAUGGAGGAGACAGGCAAUAAAUGUGCCACCCCUUAUUACACCUAUCACACAAAAGCAUCACUUCCCCGUGCAGACCACUUCUGCAUUGUUCACAUAUCUGAUCAUGCUCCUCAUCCUCCUUCUCUACCUUACCGACCUUAACUUUCUCACCACCAUUAUUGACUCGCCUCCUUUUGGAGCUGGAACAUUCAAAACUCUGUCCACUCUUUUCCACAGGCAUAACCCUCUUACAUCUCCUAGCCCCCUCUUUGUUCAGCUUGUUAUAAUACUUUUCAUAAUCAAACAAAUGGUCUCGAUACAGUUGACACAAUACGUGCUUCGAGCACUCCGAAAUCUUUAUCAGCGGCGUCACAAAACGAGCAACCUCCGCCCACUUCUUCCCCUUGACAACCUUAUCAUAUCCUCCAUACCGCUUCACAGCAUUAAAUAAUUUACACAAAUCCAACUCCUCCCCUUCAAAAACCACCCUCUUCCGCAACUUCUUCCCACAGUGGUCCUCCCAAAACCUACUGUAUUCCAACUCAAAAGUCUUGGAAUCGCAAGACGCAGGCCGCACCUGAAGCUGGUGAAUGGCCUGCGUCUUUGUAGGAAACGUAAACAAAUCCAAAUCCAACGCAAAUGGGGGUUUCCAGCACUUCGGCGGAACUAUCCUACAAAUCCCAUACGCCUCGGCCUCUGGCCUGAUCUUAUAAAUAUACUCCAAAGGGUCUCUAAAUUCAUCCUCACUAGGGUAAUACACAGGUGCAGAUGGAAUAUUCAAUGAUCCAGAUGCUGUAACACUCAAAUUUUGACCUACCACUCCCUUCUCCACAGCCCUGGGUUUUCCCUUUCCCAUCAACACCACCACACAUAUACGCAGAACCUAUAUGCAUAUAACUAACUACCUACAUAAACAUAAUUAAAUUCCAAUUAAUUUAAUUAAAUUGACAUUGCAGUACUGAAAUUCGAACUCGAGUGGUUUUUAGGGUUUUUGCAGAGCGUACCUUUUGUAGAUAACCUCAGACUGGCGAGUGUGAAUUCCGAGUUUCGUACGAAACCAAAGUGCAAGGCAAUUUAAAGGAAUGAAGGAUAAUUACGCAUUAGGGCCUGAAAAUGGUUAAAACUACGAGAAUGGCAACUCUAUCUUUUACUGGCCGUAUGUUUCGUCGUUAUUGUGUUUGUCUCGUUUGGUCUUUUUACGCCGUUUGCAUCGAGGCGCGGAUUGUUUGGGGGACCCUUCACGCGCUGCGAUAUCGGGCAGCUGACCGUGUGGUGUGGGAUGGAAUCGACGGUCAGGAUUCAGGCGAUUUGUUUUGCUCUUGGCUUGAGAGCGUGUUUGGUCGCACGUGUGUGAUAUAUAUUGAUCAACCGUACUGUUGUCUACCUCCUCGUUUGGAAACACGUGUCAGUCUUGAAUGGAUUAGGCGUUUUCAAUUUUUGUGUCGUCAAAAGAGUUUCUUAUUUAAAGGGGCACUUCCAAACUUACUGGCUAAGUGCUCGUUUACGUAAUCGUAAUUGAAACAUGAAGAAUUAGAUUGAGAAUGAAUCAGAAUUGAAUUCUAAUUGAAACUGUUUCUUUAAAUGUUUUAGAAUCGAAAUAAAAAUGACAUUGAUUCCAUAAAGUUGAUUAUUAAUUCAGCAGAAUCAUAAUAUAAGCUUGUAUGAUUACUAAAAUGUCCAUGUCCCAAAUCAAAUAUUUUAUAGGGAAAUACUCAGAAAUAAGACAAUUUAUUAAUCUUCAGACAGAAAUAGGACAUUUCAAAUAUGCACACGACAUACAUAACAAUCAGACAGAAAUAUGAUUUUCAUGCACCUUGAAAUGACCAAAUUGUCCUUGUAACAUCCCACAUCGCCCAGGGGAGUGGAUCUUGUAAGCCUUAUGUGUAUAUUCUCAUCUCUACCUAGUACGAGGCUUUUGGUCACAUCCCGAACCAAGCAUCCACCACAUCAUGGUGCUCAACUCGGCCGUAGCACGAUAUUGUCUGCUUAGGCCCCGACGAUGCCCUCACGAUUUUGUUUCUGGGAACUCACACGAGAACUUCCUAGUGGGUCACCCAUUAUAAGAUUGCUCUCACGCGAACUCGCUUAACUUCAGGGUUUCGAUGGAACUCGAAGCCACUAAGCUCCCAAAAGGCCUUGUACUAGGUAGAGAUGAGAAUAUACAUAUAAAGCUUACAAGAUCCACUUCCCUGGACGAUGUGAGAUGUUAUAGUCCUCCCAUAUAAAAGGGGUAUCCAAAAUUCCAGCCCUCAUUUCUCAUUUUGUAGAGAGAGAAACAGAGAACAGAGAGAGAAAGAGUCUAUCUUACCGAAUUCCAAUUAGAAGAACCCUACCUAUCUUUGUCAUCCAAGAGCUCUCUCUCUCCUCUCUCUAUAUUUUGAAUAUGCAUAAGAGCUCUCUCUCUAACCCACCAAUCUUCUUCGAUUUUUACCUUUUCAUUUGUAGGUUUUGUGAACUGGGUUUGCUUAAUUUUUCUUUUUGAUUGAUGGAUUUUUAGAGUUGAAGUGAUUGGUUUGGUGUUUCUUUGAGGAGACCCAAAUCCUUCAAUUUUUAUUUUUUUAUUAUUUCUCUGAUUUAUAUAUGGGUUUUCAUUUCUUUCUUCUUCUUCCUCUCUCGAUCCAAAUUUACAAGCACUAAAAUAUGGUUUGGCUUUUGCUGCACUUAAAUGAAAAAAUGUAUUACAGGUCAAUUGCCUUUUGAAGAAAAUAUAAAUUUUGAGAGAAAAGAGAGAAAUCAGAGUGGAAAGAAAGAAGAGAUAAGGAUAUGGAUGAAAUUGUUUCAUAUCAAGCUCGCUCAUAUACGACAUGCACAUGUUAUGCUCACAGAUCUGAGCUUAACAAAAAAACCCAUAACUCAUAGCUCUCUCCUCGAAAUCGGAAAAAUGACACAAUCAGAUAAAUGACUCUAAACUUUAUGUGAAGAAUCAAAGAUUCAUUAAUUUGAAUUUGGUAUCAAAUUUGAUUGGGUUCAAAUAUUUCAAGGAUUUGAAAAUUGCAGUUUGAAUAGGCAUGAAAGAACUCGAUCAAAUCAAAGGAAAUUGUUUCACGAACUCAUUUACUUUUUUCGUAUUUGGAGGGCUUGCAUCUGAAUCAAAGGAAAAAGUAGUAAACUACGUUAAUGCGAAGAGUAUCAAAGAUAUAAAUACACACCGUAUACACUAUAUGCACAUCACAUGCACAUAAUAUGUACAGUACAUGCAGAUGAUAUGCACAGAACGUGAUAAACUGCAACGACAACAUAUUGGUAUAGUGGAUACAAUGAAAACAUAAUUGUUACAUAUAUAAGGUUACAAUGACAGUUUGAAAAGUCUUGUUACGUAUAUUAACCACCGCUUAACUGUGCACGUGGAAAACAUGAUACUCGUUGUCGUUAUUUCAUGGACUUGCAUGACCCUUAACGUCAUCUAAGCUUUUUCUUAAUUUUGUUUUUAGUUGAGGCCAACUAGGUUAUGGUCAUACUCACUAAAUUUCGGGGCACAACAUACAUGCAUCAUAACUAUUGAACAUUCUCGCUUCUCAUAUUAAGAUGUAGCCAUGCACAUCACAUGCACAUUAAAGAAAAAAAUUUCACAAAUUUCUACAAUUGAACACUUAAACAAAAAAUGAUUUCAUCCCAGUUUUGUAGCAUGUCAAAAUUUGAAAUUUAUUCCACAACCCAUAUGUCACAACAUGAACACACAAACCUUAAUUUAACUUCUAAGUAUUAAUUCAUCUUACAAACAACCCAUUUAUUCCAUAAAUCAUUGAUGAAGAAACUUGGAACUAAACACCCUACCUUACUAUGUCUGCCGAAGCUUUAGUCGUCGGAAAAAAUGGAACUUUCCGGCCAAAACAGAAAAUAUGGUACAAAAUCCAGCUCACAUUUUCUCACCUCUCUCGCAUCCAUUUGUUCGAAAUCAGAGGUAUGAGGGUCAACCCAAAACUCAGCACAAUCUUCUCGCCUCUCUUUGGACUUCCACCUCUUCGAAAUCGGAGUUCAGAAUUCUGAGCUUAACCCAGAAACCCAAAGCUCACAGAGCUUUCUCGACAUCUUUCUCUUCCAAAUAAGAGUAGUGAUGCAAUGGACUGAUGAUUUUUGGUAUUUAUAUGUGGGUAUUUUAGUAAUUUUGGUUUUGUGCAUGGUGUGCGUGGCCGGGUUGUCCCAUUUUUGUCCCAAGAUUAAGAAAUUAUUCCAUUUUAGGGUAUUUCCCUAUUUUAUAUGCUUGUUUUUUCAAUAAAAUUUGAUAUAAUAUACAAUAAUAAAAAAACUCAAAUUGCUGUUUUAUUUCAUAGACACACUUAAACUGGUUUUAUUUAUUUCUAAAUUUAAGUAUUUACUUUAAUAUUUAAAUUUUCUUGCUCAAGUUAUAGUUUCUUCUCUUCAGAAUAUGCAAGUGGAGUUGUGCAUAAUGGGAAUGAGCCAGAAGGAAGUAGAAACAAAUUGUUAGGAGCAUUUUCAAUCUAUGAAACUAGAAUUAACAUGAUUAAAGUCAAUAUUUUACAUCAAAGUACAUCUUCCUAACCAUAAUAACCAACCUAAACAAAAUAAUCAUGCUCUGCCAAAACAUCGUAUUAUCAACAAAAUAUCCAUAACAUGCCUAUACAUCAUAUUAUCUACAAAAUAUUUCUAACCUACCCAAACAUCAUAAUAACAACAAAAAGUGCUCAUUCCUAAUCAUCAUGGUGUCAACUAGUUAGUCAUUAGAUUUACAAAACAUUCACAAUCUUCUCAAAUAUGUCAUUUGGCAGCAAGCAGCUCAUACCAAAAAACUAGCAUUCACAAUCUUCGGAUAGUCACUUAGAUGCCAUUAUGCAUUCAAGUCUGCAACACUAAAGUUCUCAUGCUCCACGAACAAUUCCAAAUACCCACAUAUCACUAUAUUAAUAAUUCCGAAAGCAUUUCCACAAUAACUCAUGGUUUUUAUUUAUCAGAAAAUAAGAAUAUUUGGAAACACAUUACAUAAACCACUCACCUCAAUAUUAUGAGCUUUGACAAGGCAAUCGCAUACCUCAAACCCUAGCUUUCUCUCUUUUUAUUCUUUUCUAAACUCUUUUUAAACAUACAUAUACAUACAUACACGCACUAACACGUUGCAUGAAAGAAUGCAAUGACACCGCCUAUUUCUACCUGCCAUUAUAUGUCUCCUAAUAUGCGAUGAAUGAAAGAGUGCAAUGCAACCCUCUAUUUAUAGUAGAAAUAGGCGGUGUCAAACUUGCUUUCAACUAGAUGGUUUUGCGGCUAAAGAUGACUAAGGUAUUGCAUGUACAAGGUGUCAAAUGCAUAGCUAAUAUGCAUGAAACGUCCAAUUAAUAACUUCAAUUAGUAUGCAUAAUUGAGUGCUAUGUCAGCACUUCUCAUACAAACUAGACAUGUUGCAACCUAGUCAUCAAUUCUAGAGCCAAGAAGAAGUUAACUGAGAAUGGUAGAAAGGUAUUUAUUUGAAUGAGAUGAGAAUAAUGGGUAUAUCGGACAUGUACAUAAAAUUGGGCUUCUAAUAAACUCUUUAAAAUAAAAUAGAAAUAUAUGUAUAAAAUAAAUAAAUAAUUAUAAAUAUCUAAUUUAAAAUACGGGUUCUCACAGUUCUAGCCAUAGCGGAAAAUUGUUGAGCUAUUUCAUCCUCAACUCUUGCCCCCUAUGACUACUGUUUGAUGUAUUACUUUCUGCAUUUUGUUGUUGUAAGGUAUUUGGUACUAAGAAAUACAUGUCAACAUCAUAACCACUUUCAUCCUCACAUUCAUUCUCAUUGACAUUGACAUAUUCAAGUCUAACUUCUUCCUUGUCAUCAACUUUACCAGCAUUUGCACCCACAACACGAUCUUUCACAUAAAUCUCUCCCAAAGUGUGGUAGUGCGGAAAAGCCUUAUCAUACAAUCCAUUUGCAUCCUUUUUACCCUACAAACGCAAAACCCAAAGCAUGAAAGAAAACUCUAAAAUAAAAUAGAAUCAUAUAAAUGCAAUCUCAAAUACCACAUUGAUUUCUAAGUAGGACUUAACAUAAAUCUAGUAUGUUUCUUAUUAAAAAUCGUGAUGUGCAUGCCAAACAUUUAAAACGACUGAUACAUUGUUGUUGCAUGAUGAUAAUAUUAUAUGUUCGAGAUGAUUUGUUUCAUGCACAUAGAAAAUAAGGGGAUGUUUGGUAAUUUAACCUCUCUCAAAUAUAAGUAAACAUGCACAAAAAGUCUUGCAAAUUAAUAGUUUAAAAGAUUUUGAGAUCGUCAAUAUAUAACUAUAUCAAUUAGCUUCAAGUGAUGAUUACUCACAAUAUUUUUAAAAAUUUAUAUAUAUCCAGUCAAAUUACUAUAUCAAUUGGUUUCAAGCGAUGAUUUAUGUAUAUGCAUACCCUUGUAGUUUCAUCAUACACACUUUUCUCACAAACAAACAUAAUUUUCUCUUUAUUCCCCUCAAAUCCACUAAGUGCUAGCAAUUCAGUUACGACAAAAUAUUUUGCCUUCAACGUCUUGAUUUGUGAUUGAAUGUAGGGAAACGCCUUUAAUCCACACCCUGGAAGUUUGGCUUCCAUCAUAGCUUCUAUCUUCUCCAAAUAACCAUUCUUGAAACUGGUGUUAGCUCGCCAAGUCGGGUCACUAUGCAAUUCAAGCAAUGACUCAACCAAUAUUGUCUCCUCAAUAGUUGUCCAAUAGUGUUUUUGUUGUCCCUUUCUCGUUUUGCAGAUGAAACAGGUGCCAUUCUACAUAACAAUAUUAGAAAUCAUAAGCAUUCCAAAUAAGUUUGAUUACAAACAAUGAUGUCUUUAUUAACUUAGAAACAAAUAAAUAAUUCCAAAUGUUAUUACACAAAUAGUAUUAGAAAUCAUAAUCAUUCCAAAUGAUUUUGAUUACAAAUAGUGAUAUUUUUCUUAACUUAGAAACAAAUAAAUCAUUCCAAAUGUUAUUACACAAAUAGUAUUGGAAAUCAUAAGCAUUCCAAAUGAUUUUGAUUACAAACAAUGAUGUCUUUCUUAACAUAGAAAUAAAUAAAGCAUUCCAAAUGUUAUUACCUAAACAAUGAUGUCCGUCUUAACUUAGAAACAAAAUAAGCAUUCCAAAUGUUAUUACAAAUGCUAUUACAAAACAUUAUAAUAGAAAAAGACAUACUAAUGCCUUCAUUAACUUAAAACAAAAGGACACAUGAAACACUAGUUUAAUGAACCGCCUUAGUGUUCCACAUUUCUUAUGCAAGGUUAUCCCUUCAUGCAGUCCAUUCAUCUUAGGACUCAACAAUGGUAAUGUAGUUAUUCGCAUCUGAAUUGCCAUCUUGGAAUUUCCCGUUUGCAUCAGCUUCUAUUAGAUCUACAACCAUCUCUCUUCUUAUAAAAAUUAUGGAUCAUACAACAUACUAAAAUUAUGGAUCAUACAACACACUAAAAUUAUAGGAUGAUGCGUUUAAUGUCAUAAAAGGAUGGACUCCUAAGAAUUCCCCAACACAUUUUAAAUAGCCCAAAACACCUUUCAAUGACAUUCUAGAACUUGUUUCAUAUUAAAAAACUUAGGGGGUGUUGUAGGACGAUAACCAUCUUUCCACUCAUUUAGAUGAUAACAUGUUUAUCUAUAAGAUGCAAAAAAAAAAAAAAAAAAAAAAACUUUUCCGUUUAUGUAGCCCCCAUCAACUAAAUAAUAACAACCUAUUGUGACAAAGAAUCUUUCCACUCAUUUAGAUGAUAACAUGUUUAUCUAUAAGAUGCAAAAAAAAAAAAAAAAAAAAAAAAAACCCAUCAACUAAAUAAUAACAACCUAUUGUGACAAAGAAUUAAAUUGUCAACCUUGCAACUCUAUAUCACGUGGAAUUCAAAAGCUAAGAAGUUUAAUUACUCAAAGUUGUGAAUGUUAUCAUUAGGGACUUAUAAUCCAUUUCUCCUAGUCACAACAUCUCUAAGGACUCGACCAUCAUGUGUGGACCCUUCCCAUCCAGGUAAAACAUAAAUAAACUGUAUGUCUGGAAUGUAGACUCCCAAAACAUUAGUUACUAUUUCAUUUUUCCUUAUUUUGUACUUUGGUUUAUCAGAUUUUGUAUAUGCACCUUAAUUAGUGUUCCAUCUAGCACACCUAAGCAAUUAUAUAGUAUAAUAGGCAACUAAAUUAACAAAUUAAACUAUAAAAUAUAAACUAGUAAUUACAAAAUAGUGUAGGCAUGUAAAUACUACAUACCUUAAACCAUUUCCACUUUGGGUCGGUUGAGUUCUCAGGAAUAAGCUCAGGUGUUUGCCAGAAAUCCUUUUGGCAUUGAAUCAUUGCUUUAAUACACUCAUGGAAAUACUUACUAAUUGUUCGACCAGACUUUCUAAAGUGGUGCUUAACCGUGCAAUUCUUAAGAUGAUGUGCAAGGUUGUAUAGAAACAAUGCAACCAUCUCCUCUAUAGACACAUUUCAAAUAGCUCGUAGUUGUUCUCUAGUCACAAGAACUUGACAUAAUCUAUGAAAGGAUCGUCUAUCAAUUCGUAGUUCAGCAGUACAUGUCAUAUCACUUUCAUAAAUUAAACUAUGCAAGUAUUCUAAUUACUUGUAAACUCUUAUAACUGUUUGAGAAUGUGAAGGACUUCUAAGGCGUUUUUUGAAACGAUAUCGAGAAUAGAAACAAGUAGUACUGGCAACAACUAUAGUUUGAAGAUAGACAAUCAACACAUCCAACACAUCAUGUAAUUCUUCUUUGUGACCAAACUUAAAUGAGACAUUUGUCUACAUGAUAUAACAAAGAAAAUAAAUGUCAUGAAGGACUUUAAUUUACAAGAUAAUUAACAUAUCACCAAAUUGAAUUAAAUUAAUAGUACAUGACACAUUCAGUUACAAUAAUUUAUUUAUUUUCCUCCAUACCUAGUCUCAAAAUAUACUUGCAAGCAGUGAAGAGAGCUCAGAGUGCCCACAAUCUUGUCCUCACUCUUCCUAAUUUCAUGAAGAUGGCGAAAUUUUGAUUAAUAAGCAUUUGAGCAUAAAGAAUUGGGGAUAAAUUAUCACUCUUCCUAAUCACUACGUGCAGGACAUGAACCAAUCUUAAUCGAAUUCAAUAUGGUCCUACCUUUUCUUUUACUCCCUAAGUUCAGUAAAUGAUGGUAUAUUUCGUAAUCGGAAUCAAAUGUCAUACACACCCUAAAUUUUUACUGAAAAUGUGAUUUGUGAAGACUUUGUUAUACUAACUGUAAACACGAAAUUUCUGUAAAGAAUGAAACUUGAACAUGUGUACAAAGUAAAUUUGUAUUGAUUUGAAUUUGUAGGUUACAAUCUCUAUUUACAAUUUUUCCUCUGAUUUAGUCUUCAAAUUUGAUAUAGAUACGUGAUUGUUGAUCUAAGGGUCGUGAUGACUUAAUCUCGGACGAACGGUUGAACAAUUGCUUCAAGUUUUGAGCUUGAAAAUAAUGCGUGGAUGAUCUUCACCUCAAGGGUGCGGCAAAGGAUAAUGCUUGAUGCGGGAUUUCGUUUCUUCAAGGGUCUUGGCGACUUGAUCUUGAAACGAACGUUGCUACAAGUUUAUAAGCUUGUAACAAAGUCUUGAAAGAAUCGUCACGAUCGCUUGUUGAUUCUUCAAGGUAAUGCUUCAACUUUGGUCAAGAGAAAGUUUCGGCUUUGGUUAAAUGUUCUUUGAAGAGAGCUUUGGUAGCGUAUUAGUCUUCAAAUGUUUGGCAGACAUUCUUCUGUGUAGAGAUUUUCCGACCCUUAUGCUUGUGGGAGGACUUGUAUUUAUAGGCUUCACAAAACUUGCCUUUAGGUGGAUUUGGCUUUUGAUUUAUGUCCUAAUUUAUCCAUGGGAGAAUUUAGGCAUGUUUUGUGUCUUAAUUCCCUUGCUUGGCCAAAUUUAAGAGCCAUUGUUGCCUAUUUUGCGAGCAAUAUUCAAUUCUUACUUGUUUUAUGAAGAUCAUUUAACUUUCUUUUCGGUUUUAGGAUCAAUUUGGACCAUUUUGCCAAAUUUAAAGGGAGAUUUCUCCCCUUUGCUGAAUUUUGGGAAUGUUUUGUACUUCAUUUUCUUUGAUUUGUGCCACAUGUCAUUGAUGAUUUGUCUAUUUGUGAUGAGUCAUAUGCCACGUGGAGUUUUCUGAUGCAUCAUUUGUAUGCAAAGAAAUUUACAUGUCUACACUAACACCUGAAAUUUAUCAUGUUUUUACUAAAGUCUCUUUAUUUGAGAAAUUAUACUAAUACCUAUUACGAUUUUAAUUCACAUUAGUAUUCACAUCAAAGAAAGAAUUACUCUUCUAAUUAAUUACUUAAAACUUAAAAAAACAUUUAUAAAUUAAAAAUUUUAAAAAUGAUAUUUUUUGGUUGAGUAAAAGUUACAUUAAAUAAUAAUAAAAAAAACCUUAUGAAAAAACUAGAAAGCCCUAAUUCAUUGUUGGAACCAAAGCUGCGCACAUCCACGGACGAAGGCGAAGUCUGAUGUGAUUUAUUCUAACACACAAAUUAAACCCUAUUAAGAUAGUUGUAGUAUAUGAAAGUAGGGAUCAUUCUAGGCCGGAUAUUAACUAGGGCUGCUAAUCUAUACAAAUAUGACUCAAAAACACAAAACUAGACUUAAAAACUCAAAACAAACUAAAAAGACUCAAAACAUCACAAAACAAUCAAAUAGACUCAAACUAGAUGCUAGAGUGUUAAUUGGACGAAAAUUGAUUUUAACUUGACUCAAAACACUAAAAACACAAAUUGGAUAGAUUCUAACUAACUUGACUCAACAAAGUAAAGGGGAUUGAGUUUUUGACGAAUUUAAAGUAAAACUAAACAAAAUUAAAGACUCGAAAUACUUUGGACGAAAUUGGUGAAUUAAAUGGGUGAAUGGCUAGUUAGAGGGUCCUUCUCCACACAUGACAUAUAUAGAAUGACGUGUAUAAGAGAAUAUGUGUAUGGUAGAGAAUAUCAACCCUCGUAUAGAGAAUGGUCGGAGACAAGUCCAAAUCCCCUGAUAAAUACUAAGCUAGAGUAUUUAAAGAGGUCUUGAGAGUCCUUGUAUGGAGAAUAAUCUUCAUUUAAGACCAAGUCUUUCAAAUUCACGUUAGUUUCUUCUCUCAACUAUUUGAUUACAGAAAUUAACUGGUCAUUGAAUCCAGAUUUCACAUAACCAUCAUCAUCAUAUGAUUUGCAUUGGUUGUGUUUGUUUUCGGUGCCACAAGGUGAAGAGCUCAGGAGGAGCUGCCAUCCUGUGAAAACUAACGAUAAGUCCAUCUCAUGUAAGACAAGGUUUCACAAAGGUAUAAGCUGCUCUAUACAUUAGGGUCUAGGAAUUGAACUUGUGUGGGUACUUUGUAUGAAUCUUGUUUACACUAGUGGAUUUGACUUGGUGGAGAGUCCCUAGUUUUUUAACCCAGAUGUGGGUUUUUCCGGCCAAAAAUUUCUUGUGUUGAAAGUCAUUUAUUACUUGUCACAUUUCUCACUUUUAUGUAAAUGCUACAUGUUUUCUUAACUUGCAAAUAUACAUGUGCUUUCAACUAAGUUUAUCAGAGUUUAAAUGUGUACUAAACUGAACCUUAGUUAACUAGGAUCAUGUUAGUAAAAUAGGUUUAAUUGUUUAUUCCUGCUUUUGGUAAACUAACAAAUCUAUUCUUACUUAAUUGGUGAUGUUGACUAGUUAGUCAAGCAUAUAUUGAAUUUCAAAUUACAGGAUAUUCUUUCUAGUACCAAUUUCAAGACUAAACAGAUCAUGAAGAAUAGUUAAGGAUAUGCAAAAGAGAUAGAGAUAAAAACCCUAAUUAAUGUGAUAGAACAAAAAAGAUAGGGAAAUCAAAACCUUGAGUUGAUAUUGAUUUUUUUGUUUGUUCUUCCUCCGUGCCAAGAAUGAUCGAUUGUGGAGAGGUUUGUGUGAAGAGAAAGUUUGAUCAGAAAAUGGGAAUGGAAGAAAAAAGUGGGUGGGGAUGAUUUCUGCUCAUAGUUUCUAAUAAAACGUGUAGUUUCAUUUCAGUUUCUUUUAUUUGGAACUUAGGGAAAAAAAAACUUCUUUUUCUAAAUGGCCUUGAAAGAAUGGGAGGGCAAAAAAAAAUUGGGCGUGGAAGAAGAAGGGACGGGGUUGAGGUUGAGUGGGAGACGUGCGUUAUUUUUAUUUUUCUUUUAAUGUUUUUUUCUUUUGAUUUUUUUAUAUUUCUUUUGAAAUAUUUAUUCAUACAUAAUUAAUUAAUUUAUUUUUAAUUUCGUAAUGGGUAGAGAGAUGACGGAAAUUAAUGAAGGGGAAAGGAAGAUAAGGUGGAAGAGAUGGGCACAGAGAGGAGAUAGAGAGCAAAGUGGAUUUAUCAAAUCUCAAAGAUAGUUUGAAAUUUAGCAAAAUUGUGGUGUCAUGCCUCCUUUAAUCUUUUUUUUUAAAUUAAGCAUGAAUGAUUAUACCACACCUUAUGUCCGUGAUAGAUAACAAAAAGGCAUUAUGGAUACUAACAAUAUUAACCAUGAUCAUUGCCCGUGGUGGCUUAGUAUAUUUACAACUUGCAACUUUGUGUGUCAUUUUUCACAACUAUUCUAAAUGGGUUAAAAUUUGUCUAUGGUAAAAAAAUUUGUUCACCAUAUAGUUAUUGUGCCCGUGGUAAAUUUGUACUUUUUAUAACAGACUCCUAAGGCCUGUGAUAAAAUUAUCGUGGUAGAUGAUCUACUAUUUUGUAGUGUUAGCACUUACUCUAUCAAACUUGUAGUUGUUGUAAUAGGUUUGAGCUUUAUAUAGAGAGGAAAUUAAUCAUUAUAUUUCCUUCUUUAUUUAUUUCUUUGGUGUGUGAGAGCUAUUGGGUAUAUUGGGGUUUUGGUUGUGAGAUUGUCAAACACUUUGUAUACACUCCCAUUUGGUUUAUAGUAAGGGUGGGUUAAAAAAAUUGAAAAUUGAAAAAAAGGGACCGGAACCGAAACAAGGCCGAAAAAAAUCGAACCGAACCGAUGCUAAAGGUCGAAGAUGAAUCUAUUUCCCUUGUAUUGGACUGCUCUUUCCCAGAAAAAAAACGAGCAUUGUACAGGGAUCUCAAUUUCUUUAGGCAAAAUUAAAAAGAGACUAAUUAGUCAUCGAGUAGACACAAAGUCGGAACAUAAGUAAAACCUUCAUCUUCUAUUGCAUGACUGGUUUGUGUGCUAUAAGUCUUGAAGCAUUCUUUUGCAAAAUUAUUGGAUGGGUGCUUUGGUCUCUUUUGUUUAUGAUGAAUUUGCCCUUCAUUGUUGUUCAAAUGACUUGUUUCCAAUACAAGAAUCUUGAGAAAUUAUUAUAUGAUUCAUUUGAAAAAUUAUGUAUAUAUUUGUAAAGGAUCAAAUUUGUUGUUUUGACCUUACUUUGAAAAGGUGAAGAGAAAAAUGCUGCUAGUAAUGGCAUGCUUGUAAUUGUAUAAUUUUUUUGCUUAUUUACUUAUAAAAAUAAUGGAAUUUCCCCUCUUAGGUUUGUGACUUAUUGCAAUCUUAUACAACAUUUUCAAAACAAUUCACUCCAUACAUCAUUUGCUAUUUUAUUUCAAUAUAAUACCUUCGUUGGAUUUUCCAUCCAUUUGUUCAUUAAAAGCUGAUGUGACUCACCACGGGGCUCAAUUUUCCCUCCAAAACAUAAACACAUAGACAUCAUGCUGCCACAUCAAUCAACUCCCCAAAAAGUGCCACGUGGCCCAAAAUUCAAAAUUUCCACUCAAAUUUUUGAUCUAAAAUUCCCAUCCAAAAUUAUGUGUUUUUGAAUUUCAUAUUUGUUUAUGGUUUUUGCUGGCAAAAAUAUGCAGAAAGACAUAUGUCCUCAAAAUGAGACCUGCUAAUCAACGAAUGGGCAGAAAUGCAUCUAAUAUCCAAAUAGACAACUAAAUUAGCAUUUAUAUCACGAGAGUUCAACUGAAAAUAACAAGCAUGUUCCAAAAAUUGGCAACCAAAGCUAACAUGUGGUAGUUUGACUGGAAAUAACAAGCAUGUUCCCAAAAAAUAUAUUCAGCGAGUACCUAAGCAAAAUGAUAGUUCCUAAAAAGUUGCAAACAAUGUUGUGGAUGCAAAUUUUCUCCUCUUCGAUCUUGGACGAUUUUGCACCUACAAAACAACUAGCACCUUAGGUUAAGGCCAAAAGCCUCACGCGCCCACGAUGAAUGGGGGGGGCUUUGGCCGAAGAACCUCCGAUGCCAAAGUUAGAAUUUUAGAGAGAAAUAGUGUUUAGAAUAUUUGGGAUUUUUUGUAAGAGAAUUGGAACUAGUGUUUUGUGAAAAUGGGACCCAAUUUAUAGGAGAGGAAAUGGUGAUUUAUUUUGGGGGGUUAUGGAGAUAAUGAGCUAGUUAUUUUGGGGAGUUAUGGAAAUAAUUGGCUAGUUAAUUAGCAAAUAGUAAUAACCUAAUUAACUAGCUAUUUGAAUGUCAUAAAAAGGGGGAGAAAAUGGCAGCAACAAACAGAAAAUAAAGGGCAUGGCCGGCCCUAGUGGGUUUUUGGUUAUAAUUUGGAGGUUUAGUUGAUAAUUAAGGGAUUGAUUAGGUAAUUAGUCAAUUUUAGGAAAUAUGAAAGGAAUAAGUAUAUUAUUUAGCUAAUUGAUUAGCUAAAUAAUGAAAUGGGAAAUAUAUGAAUAAAUUAGGUUUUAAGUUGAUACCUAUUUUGGGCACUUUUGACUUGGUUGAAGGAUAAUUGUCUGCUGAUUGCACGUAGGAAUCCCGGUAUAUACCUCAAGGGUAGUUUUUGUCUUUUUUUUGUCAAAAAUCCACGUGUCGCCUUGUGAUUAUUUUUGGCUCCACAAAUGCCCCCACACCUGUUGGGCUGCUUGUAGGAAAGGGCAACAGGUGUAGAGAUUUUCUUGCUUUAGGAAACUUAAGACUGUUUCCUAUUUUGAUGUUGAUUCUCUCUUUAAAUGGAAAUUAGAUCCUUCUAGGAAAGGGAAAUAAAUUUCUCUCAAAGCCUAUUUAAUUCCACCUUAAGUGGGUUAUUAAAUCAACUUUGGAGAGCGAUUUAUUUUACCCAACAAGAGAGAGCAAGUUAGAGGAUAUUUGUUCCCCCUCCUCUAGCAAUCUUCUACAUCUUGCCCGUGCAAAGGACCGUCUUUCGUUGAUUUCUUCGUCUUCUCCGUGCCGCACCGAUGUAAGAAAAAUUUAAUUUUUCUUGCCUUCUUCUUGGAUAGUGCUAUUGCAGGGCAACCGUCGGGGUGGUGCGGCACGUCGGCUGGCAGGGGCCAAGAGUUGGCUUGGCAUGGGUUGAGGAGAUGUCAUGGCAGGGACCACUGCUUGGGUAGAUUGGCUUGGCUUGAGCCAAGGGCAGCUUGUGCAGCUGGGGUCGAGGAUUGUGGCACUGGGGCGCUGUGCUAGGCGAGCCGCAUGGCUCAUGUCCUUUGGGCUCUUGGACCUGACUCAGGCCAGGCUGGCGAUUGAGAGAAAUAAGGAGAUUGCGGGUCUCAUGGGCUACUGGAAUGUUGGGCAUGUAGGCCUCCUGCCUGCUGGAAUGCUGGGUUGAGCUCCCCUGCUGAGUACCAUGAAUGUCGUUGGUUGCUUAGUCCUCUUUGCUGAAAGAAAUGUGGGCUGCUCCAGAAAGAGGAGGUAAAGAGGAUCAAGGCGGAUGCAUUGGCUCGUCUGAUCGCUGUCGUGGAGCUUACUAUGAAUGAAGAUGGAAAGAAGAGAUCUUCCCCGCCUGCUCAUGAGAUGCCAGUUAAGAAAAAACUAAAGACUUCUUCUGCUGCUCAUGAGGGUCCGCUUGCUACCGAAAGGUAUGUGAUUGACAUGACUUCUUCCAAUGGGAAGAAAAAUAAGGCUGCUAGAUCUGAGCAUGUGGCGUCUUCCAUGUUGAGAAAGGCUAGUACAAUUGUGGAUAAGAUUGUUCAGCGUAAAGGUUUUAUCAUGCCCCCACUGCCGAAGUCUGUACCAGGAUGUUCUUUGGGAGCCAAGUCCAGUUCACCUUUGUAGAGACUUGCUAUUAUGAAGAGUGGUAAGGUGGACUCUGCUGCUAAAGUGGCGCCAAAGCCUGCUCCCUUUGCUGCUGAGAUUGAUUCACCUCAGAUUCAAGAUCGUAAGCUUGCAAUUUCUGAGCUUCGUUUUGCUGCUUAUGCUAAGAAGGGAGUGGAUGAGCUUCUCUAUUUCUCCAGAAGACUUGCUUGCUUUUAUUUUAAGGCUUCCAUUGGUGAAGUAGUUGGAGAAGUUAGUGCCCAGACUAGGGCAGCCGGGGGUGAAGCGCCUGAUGAAGGUGUGGCGACUGAGUAGUCAUGGGAUGUCUAAGCUGAUGUAGUGUAGUAUUUUAGGUAGUCUUUAGGAUUUUCUUUGUUUUUCCUUGUAGCUCUUGUUUUGCUUGAACUCCUUCGGCCUUUGCUAGUUGUUUAUAAACAUGUUUUCCUUCGUUUUUCUUCAUCUUCACUUCUUUUGUUCAUGCCCUAACCUUUAGACUUGAUAGACCAGUGGCAGGCAUGCUACUUUUUUAUAAGCAGACAAGCUCGCGUAGCCUAUGCAGCCGUAGGUAUUGGUGUAGAACUUUGCAAAGUUGUUAGCCAUAGGGUUGGCAGCCGGAUGCCUUACUUACAGAAGCAGACAAGUCCGCGUAACCACUAGGUUGUUAACCUUGACUUUCUUCAAUUCCGUAGGUUGCGUAACAAGUAUCACAACACUUUAGGACUUGGUGUAGGUUGUUCCGCGCUUGGCAGAGGUGAAGCUUAUCGACUACAUAGCAUGUCGGCAGUGGAUAAAACUUCGUAUAUGCGCGCUAGCUUGUUUAACCUUUCAUAAGAAUGUGCAGUUGCCUAAGUCUAGCGCGGCUUUACUGCUCGAAGGGCAAGCCGUAGGCAGUCUUCCGGAAUCCGUAGGCUACCUUAGUGCACUCGGUAACAGCUUUAGGAUUCCAGGGCAGCCGUCCAUCGAAUGUACUGCGUAAUGUGCCCUCUCUGUCUCUAGGGCCCGGUUCCCCACGGAUUAGGCCAAGAGACCCAAAAUCCUUCAGUUAGCUAAGCCUUGAAAAAGACCAUUGCGGCUACUUUUAGGAAUCCCGGCGCAAGCCAUCGUGCAUCUAGUUAUACUAGGGCAGCCAGGUUCAUCCACGUCUGGAUAUUCGGAGUGUAAAGUUUAUCCUCCCGUCUUGGAGAGCUGACCCAUAUGGGUGUCGGGGAAUUGGUUUAUCCUCUCGCACUGGAGAGCAAUUAGUUUACCCUCUCGCACUGGAGAGCAUGGUUGGUCCCUCGGGGGGGCGCAAUUCCUGCGAUGGGUCCCUAAGAAGGGCGCAAUAUUCUUUUGAAGUGCCGGAGUGAUCAGUUGUUAUAAGCAUGCAGCCGAGCCAAGUUGUGAUUACUUCUGAAUUCCUCAUUGAAAAACGAGUGAAACGAACAAGAACUUAGCUGUAAGGUAGGAACUGUAUAACAACUGGAUAGUCCUUGACUUGUGAGGUGGUGCCCGUCGAGCUUCUUGAGUCUUCGGGCUUUGAUGUAGUAGGAGGUCACACAUGGUACUUCUUCAGAUUGUAGGCGCUCCACUACUUUUCGAUCUUUUUAUCGUUUCAUGGUAGCGGGGGUAUAAUUACUCUUACCGCCUAUUCUGCUGAGCUUGUACAGACCUUCCCAGAUGAGAUCCAUCUUUUUGGAUGUUUCGGCCUGCCUAUUGCCGUGAGGAUAUCUCGGCAUGGACAUAUGCUGCUUGAUGCCAUAUUUUUGGAAGAACUUCGCCAAAUCUUUACCCACGAAUUGCAGGCCGUUGUUGGUGACGAUGGAUUAAGGGAUGCCAAAUCGGUAAAUGAUGUUCCUCCAUAUGAAGCGCUCUAUGUCCGUCUGAAUUGUGGUCGUCAUGGGCUCUGCUUCCACUUAUUUGGUGAAGUAGUCGGUUGCCACGAACCACGGCUGCUCGCGAGCCUUUGUAGUUGGAUGCGCCGUUGACAUGUGAAUGCCAAAAAUCUCCAUUGAGGGAAUAUGUGCGGCUAAAGUGUGAUCGACUGCCUUCAGGGCAUCGUUGGGCCGAGUUGUUACGUUCGUCAGAAAACUUUGCAUCUGCCAGGGUCUACGCCUUUAUCGUCGCCGGUUUAGAUUCGGCAAAAUAGUGCGUCAUGAUGAUGACUGCAGGUAACUGUAGAAUACAGGUAGUCGGGCCCCCAGCUCUUCUCGCAUGAUGGUAGAGCUUAUUGCUACUUUAGAUACCGUCAAACAUGCGAAUAAGUCAUCCGCUGCUUCUAGGGAGGUGAUGUCGGGUACUUCUUCAAGUCCUUGAAUAUGCAUUGGCGAGCCUCAUCCCAAAGUGCAUGCUUCUCUGCUAAAGCAAAAGAGUCUGCCAGAGUUAGAUCUUCUUUCAUGAUCAAUUUUCCGAAUAGCGGGUGGUCUGCUGGAAGUCCUUUUUGGAAGGCUGCUCUAGCUAUCGAGUCGUUGCAUCCGACUAUUUUUGCUUUCUCUACUUUGAACCUCCUCACAUAGUCGCGAAGCGACUCCUUUGGGUUCUUCUUGACGUCGAACAAAUGGUCAGACUUCUUUUUGAUCGAGCGAUAGGAUGAAUAUUCUUUGGUGAAAACCAAAGAACGUUCGUAGAAAUUCCGGAUGGAUUGUGGCGGCAGGGUGUAGAACCAAUCUUGCGCCUCGCCUUGUAGAGUGGUGGCGAAUAUCUUGCACAUGAGAUCAUCGUUGUUUUGAUAAAGGAUCAUUACACUUUGGUAACGUUUUAAGUGUCUCUCCGGGUCUUCAUCCCCUUUGAAAGAUGUGAAAUGUGGCAUGCUGAACUCGCGUGGAGGCUCUGCCUGCUCGAUCUCCUCCGUGAAAGGUGACCUGCUUAUGUUGGUUAUGUUCCGUCGUAGUGCCUCGUCGGUGACCUCGUUGCGUUGGAAAUCAUGUAAUCGCUUGGUCAAGAGUCUCUCUACUUCUUCCUGAAUUUGCCUUUGUUGGGGUAGCGGAGCUCUCGGCUGCCCCCAGUCAUGACUUGCUGGUCUAGGCUGCUCUUCCAUGUGUUUGGCUCGUCUAUGCCGCGGAUGCAGUGCAUGUGGUGCGUUCCUAGUAGGCGAGCGAGUUUUUCGCAGGCUGCUGGUUGAACUUGAGCUGGAUUGAGUGACUCCUUCUCUCCAUCCGUCGUGCUGCCUACUCUGAUGUGAGGUGGAUGACGCUCCUUGUGGGCUUAGCUGCGAAUAGACACUUUGCCCGGAAGGUUGUUCAUGUUGACUAUCGGAGUAUGACCCCAACCGUGAAUGUAUGUUUCUCCGUGGGCCUAGUCGAGAGUGUAUGCUCCUUCGCGCUCUAAGACGGGAAUGUACACUGCCCAAACGUUCGGCUAGUGGCUGGUCGAGUGGCUGCUUGCCGGGACGCUGCUGGAAAUGUCCGUCUGCACGUUGGAUCCCGAUGCGUUGCAAAAGUUGAUUCACCAAGGUUGUCUGUUGUGCAAGGGCGCUCGUCAACUCUAUGACUUGUCGAGACAAGUGUUGUUCGCCAUUUGGAUUGGAAGAGCUUAGAAGGAAUGCGCCUCCUUGGGCAGUGGAAGAGUGGUAGACUUUAGGCGCGAGAUUUGAGUUGGGAAAUGUCAAAUCCGUGAAAAAAUAUGGUGAGAAUGCUCCCGGCUCGAUAGUAGGUCCAGAUGGUUGAGAUAGUCUUGGGCCGACUUGGGCUGCUUGGAAAGCCACGGGAGUAGUCUGGGCCUUGAGAGUGGGCUGCUCGUCGGGAGCCGGCUGGGUCACGAGAGCAGACUGCUUGGCAGGAGUAGGUUGGGCCGUGAGAGUGGGCUGUUCGACGGAAGCAGGCUGAACCAUGGGAGUAGGCUGCUCGUCGGGAGCAGGCUGGGCCACGAGAGCAAGCUGCUUGGUAGGAGCAGGCUGGGCCACGGGAGUGGGCUGCUCGACGGAAGCAAGCUGGGCCACGGGAGUGGGCUGCUCGAUGGAAGCAAGCUGGGUCACGAGAGCAGGCUGCUUGGCAGGAGCAGGUUGGGCCGUGAGAGUGGGCUGCUCGACGGAAGCAGGCUGGACCACGGGAAUGGGCUGCUCGUCGGGAGCAAGCUGGGUCACGAGAGCAAGCUGCUUAGCAUGAGCAGGCUGGGCCGCGAUAGCAGGUUGCUUGGCAGGAGCAGGCUGGGCCAUGGAAGUGGGCUGCUCGACGGAAGCAGGCUGGACCACGGGAGUGGGCUGCUUGUCGGGAGCAGGCUGGACCACGGGAGUGGGCUGCUCGUCGGGAGCAGGCUGGGUCAUGAGAGCAGGUUGGGCCACGGGAGUGGGCUGUUCGACGGAAGCAGGCUGCUCAAUGCGCGGUGCAUAUGAAUGCGAGGCUUGGGCUUGGGUCCACGUAAACUUGGAUGGCACGGCUUGGGUCGUGGUCUUGGUACCGUGAGCCUUGGAUGGCACGGCUCGGGCCGUGGUGAAAGCUCCAUGGACCUCGCCACGAAUGGCUACCGAAGUAGCCACCGCGGUGGUUCCCAUGGUGGCCGUGGUGAAGGCACCAUGGACCUCGCCGAGGUAGCCACCGCGGUGGUUCCCAUGGUGGAAACUCGUGGUGGUGAUGCCGCUCCCCUUAUUGUCGCAUUUUGCCUCACGGAUCUCCGCAAUCCCAUUUCUUGUAUAUUAGAAUUUUCACUUAUGGAAUUUUCUAAAUUUCUAGCCAUUAUAUUUUGCUUAUACGUUUUAUCAAAGAACCUUUGCAAGUAAAAAAUUCUAAUAAUAAGAACGUAUGAAAAAUAUUCAAAUGGACUAGAAAAUAAAGAAAAAACCUUUUUGUGCGAAAGUCUUCUACGAGUAUGGAUUUCAACUCUCAAUGAAAGCACCAAUUUGUGGAUGCAAAUUUUCUCCUCUUCGAUCUUGGACGAUUUUGCACCUACAAAACAACUAGCACUUUAGGUUAAGGCCAAGAGCCUCACGCGCCUACGAUGAAUGGGGGGGCUUUGGCCGAAGAACCUCCGAUGCCAAAGUUAGAAUUUUAGAGAGAAAUAGUGUUUAGAAUAUUUGGGAUUUUUUGUAAGAGAAUUGGAACUUGUGUUUUGUGAAAAUGGGACCCAAUUUAUAGGAGAGGAAAUGGUGAUUUAUUUUGGGGGGUUAUGGAGAUAAUGGGCUAGUUAUUUUGGGGAGUUAUGGAAAUAAUUGGCUAGUUAAUUAGCAAAUAGUAAUAACCUAAUUAACUAGCUAUUUGAAUGUCAUAAAAAGGGGGAGAAAAUGGCAGCAACAAACAGAAAAUAAAGGGCAUGGCCGGCCCUAGUGGGUUUUUGGUUAUAAUUUGGAGGUUUAGUUGAUAAUUAAGGGAUUGAUUAGGUAAUUAGUCAAUUUUAGGAAAUAUGAAAGGAAUAAGUAUAUUAUUUAGCUAAUUGAUUAGCUAAAUAAUGAAAUGGGAAAUAUAUGAAUAAAUUAGGUUUUAAGUUGAUACCUAUUUUGGGCACUUUUGACUUGGUUGAAGGAUAAUUGUCUGCUGAUUGCACGUAGGAAUCCCGGUAUACCUCAAGGGUAGUUUUGUCUUUUUUUUUUUGUCAAAAAUCCACGUGUCGCCUUGUGAUUAUUUUUGGCUCCACAAAUGUCCUAUCUGCUGCCAACGUUUCAUAAAAAUUCCAUCCAAUGUUGAGUACAACAACAUCCACAUCAACAAAAACAUUCAAGGUUCUGUAUACAAAAAAAUCCCUAAAUCAUCAUCAUAUAAGCCACAAGUUGAUUUAUAAACCCUAACACAAUAAAACAAAUGGAGCAGUUCUUAACUUGGGUACACCACCUCGAUUACUGGAUGUAGCUUCUUGUGCAGAACUUGAUGCCUAAAACAAAUAAAAGGAUUUCAGGAUUUACGAAGUGUUAAAUCAAUUUAGAAAUCAUAUAACUAUGUAAAUGGUUAUAUUCCACCUCAUGUCUUGUAGGAAGAUGCAUGUGACAAGUCCUGGUACUGUGACCCUCUUCUUUACAUAUCCUACAUUUGAGGGUCCUUUGGCCAUUUCUUGAGAGCUAUUGUGGCUGUGGAAUCUCCACUUCUGUUAGUGGCUUCAUUUUGUGUAGAAUCAACUUCUUUUGCCCAUUUUGCAACCUUUUUGUUUCUCUUCUUCUUGCGUUUUCUAGGUUGUCUAGUAUAUAGAGGAGGCUAGAUAGGUGGAUUUUCAGUGACUUCCCACAUAGACAUCCCAUUCAUUGGCUGGAUGAAGUGAGAAUAUAUUUCCAAGUACAUGGACUUGGAAUAACAUCUAAUCCACACAGUUCUCUGGCUUCUUUCUCUUAUAAUUAAUGGCAGCAAUAACAUGGUUGCAUGGUAUGCAUGUGAGGUCAUAUUUUCAACAUAAACAUGUAUGUUUAGUCAAAUCACCAACAUAUUGGUCACAUUUGCCAGCAUCCACUUAGAAUUUUGUCUUAUAAGACCAUUGAGCAAUACAUUGAACACACUCCAUCUUUCAUCCUCCAACUUCUUCUUAAUCUUGGGGCACAAAACUUUAUGUUGUCUUCCCAUAACAUCUUGUUUUAUUUGAAUUAUUUUCAUCAAACAUGGAUAUGAAUGAUUUGAAGCAUGGUUACAAUUGGAUUGGACCUUGCCUUCACUAUCACAACAUUGAAACUUUCACACAAGUUGUUAACCAACAUUUCACACUUGGUAAAAGUUAAAAAAUGAGACAUACUCCAAUGAAUGACAUGCAUCUUUAUGAGCCAGUCAAAUGCAUUUUUGUUAAACAAUCUAAGUGUCUUCAUGACUCUUUUGAAGUGCGGAAUUAUGUUGGUCUUGGCAGCAGCCCAUCAAGCAUCUUUCAAUGCCUUGCCUUUAAAUUGAUCUUUAUAGCUUGUAUACAGAUGCCGCACACAAAACUUAUAGUGACCAUUAAGAAGAACCUUCAAGAAUGUAGGAAUUAAACCCUUAUCCAUGAAUGUUGAUUUACAAUAAAGGUCCAACCAUGUUGAUUUACAAUUUUAAUGUUCUCUGCUAAAAUGUUUGAAAACCAAAUCCAUGAAUCCUUGCUCUCCAUCUCAACAACUGCAUAAGGUAUCACCCAAGUCUCAUCAUGGAACAUUGGGAUCUAUCCCCACAACAAUAUGCUAAGACUUUAAAUGACAACCAUCUAAACCAACCAAAGGUCUACAAUCAGCUCUAAAUUCUUCCUUGCAUGCAUCCAAAUGCACAUACAUCUUUUAAAACCUUCCUUCAUUCAGUAUAAUUUUCACGGUGCUCCCUGGGGUUGUCUUCUUGCUUUCGUUAACAAAAUCCUAUAAUUUAGUGCAUUGCUUAGCAUGUUUACCCAUAAUAAUCUUCAACGCAGUAGUCAUUGCCCUAUAGGCUUUCAUCUUUUAGCAACCAUGUUUUAAUUCAGCUCCAAUUCCACAAAAGAAUCAACAGGCCUUAUUGGAUUAAGCUGGAUCCUUUCGAAGUAUAUUUCACUAAGCCAAGCUUGUUUCAUAUUCUUAUUGACCCACAAUCUACUAUAUGUUUGAAAAUCCAACAAUUUCUUCAUUUGCAUGUUGUUUGAAUUAUACAUAUUUCCACAUUUAACAAACCAAAGACAUCAUUCUUUGCAAACUACAUCAACCUUAAACCUCUCAUUUUGUGGAAAAUAGACAUCCCCAUACGUGCAUUACUAUUGCCCUACGAAACUGUGCAACAUCCCUAAAUAUCAACCCUAUUGACAGAUGUGGGUUCUUCAUGUCAGUCUUCUCGUUAAACUCAUGAUAUAGCUCAUUAUUGUUUUGAUAACCAUCUCUAUCUUCAUGGACACUCCGAAUGCUAUCUAAAUUGUAGUCUGGCUUAUUAACAUCUACAUCAAUCUCUUGUUCAAAAAUCAUUUGCUGCUCAAAUCCCUCCCCUUGUUGAUUAUCUUGUGCCCUAAUGCUAGCCAACACUUCAUCUCCAUGGAAUUCAUCUUCCAAAAAGCCACCAUCAAUUCAUCUUCAGCUAUUCAACACAGGACAAUGCAUCUCUAGCUUCAUCAACAUUAAGAUCACCGAACCCUAAUGAAUCAAGGCCUUUUUAUAGCUUAUCAAAAGCCAUUCCUUCAUUUGUUCCACUUUCAAAUAGCAAAGGUUCGGAUUUGGCUCACUUUGAAAAUAUACCAUCUAAUUCACAGAUUGGUAAGGCACAUUAUAAUCAUCACCAAGCCCACUUAUUGGAUAUUCAAUGGCUAGCUUGCCCUUUCCUAUAUUAACUUACACUAGCCUCUUUUGGUCAUCCUCAUCACCAUUAAUUUCUUGAAUAACGACACUGGUUUGAGUAACCGGUUCAAUUGACUUAAUAAAAUUUAUCUCUUGAGAGGCACAUUCUUCAGGUAUUAUUUUCUUAAUGUAGACAUCAAUCAUCAUGUGUUUUGGCACAAAUUUGCACGUAUUGAUCACAUAAGAAUCAAUCUUCAAUGGCUUCAACCCAUUUUGAAUCUCCAUCCCUGAGAACCUAUAGUGGUAGCUCAUGAACAAAUUUCCAUAUCCUAGUUCCUCAACUAUAUUAUGAACCUCUAACAAUGACAUCAAGUCUUUGUCACAAAAGAAAAAAAAUCAACCUUGCCUUUGACAUAGAAGUCAUCACUAAGCUCCCCGCCAUGAUACAUUUUAAUUGUGAAAAUUUCGUCAUCUCCUGAAAUUCUAGCAUAAAAAAAAACCCUAAUUAAAUUGAUGAAAACCCAUACUUCAGAACCACAAAGCAUAAAUUUCAAGACCACAAAGCUCAAAAAAAGAUAGAGAUUACCAUAAACAAACAUUAGCCACAAGCAUUUUUCUGGCAGGAUCAAACAAAAACUCAUAUGUACUUAUAUGAGCGUGCAACACAUGUCAUAUUUUUCAUUGAUCUAAACCUAAUUAAUGGAAAUAUUGUAUUGAUUAAGUUUAGAAUAAAAAUUGGCCAUUAAUAAAUGGCUAAUUAGUAAAAUUUUCAUUGAUUUAUGGCUAAAAAACCUAAAUUGUUUCUAGUUUAUGGAGCUAGGAUAUAUGAUUUCGAAGAACCCCUUUGGUGGCACAAGCAAAGUUACCUUCUUUUCUCAAAUAAUUCCGAUGAAAAUUGAUUGGGUUGCGAUUUUCGCAUCCUAACAUCGUUUUUGAGCGGGAUGACGAAAGCCUUCUAAAAGAAGGAUGUCUUUGACACUGUUCUCAUAGCAAAAAUAACUCUGUCUUUAGCCAUCUACAUUCAAAAUUGAAUAUGUUGAAAUAUUUUCUGCAAUCAUACGAAAGUGUGUAUGACAAUUGAAGAAUUCUAAUCACUACCAAUCUAAUAAACCCGGUGGACAUCGACAUUGCUUAUUUUUGAACUGAAAAAUCUUGUUGAAUGAUUGACCAGCAAAAGAAACGUCAUUAAAUGAACGAAUGUAGUAAGAAACCAAAAAAAUAAAACAGAAAACACCCAAAAAAAGGGCCCAACCGGGUUCGAACCGGUGACCUCUUGAUCUGCAGUCAAAUGCUCUACCACUGAGCUAUGGACCCAAUCGUUAACAACAGUUCUUUUUGUAGAUUAUAUAUAGGGUUCAUCAUUAGGUUCUGGGUUCUAAGGGCUUCGACAGAUCAAAUUGUUUUUUAUUUUUUUAUUUUUUUUAUUUUUUAAUAUAAUGAAUUACAUCUAUUCAAUUGGUAUUGUAGCAACCAACUUAUAAUGUUCCUAUGUUAUAAGUUAUAUGACUCCUAUCCAAGGAAGAAAAUAUCGGUAAUAUCGGAAAUAUCGGAAAUAUCGGUAGUCCGAAAACAUGGAAAUAUCGAUGGAAAUAUCGGGAUAAUAUCGAUAUCGAUAAAAAUUACAUGGAAACCACGGAAAUUGUAAGAAAAACUUGGAAAUUUUUAAUGAAACUUUGUAGGAUGUUUAUUUAGUCAAUUAUCUAUUAGUUUAUCACAAAAAAUUGGAAGGAAAUGCAUUGCAUGAUGGAUUUAACUGAUUUAAGUUGAUUAUAUAGCGAGCUGGCAAACAUUGUGAGUGUAGAAAAUAUGUAGUAAUUAAUGAAAGAAGUUUAACACACCAUAAUCAUUUAUACAUAAUUAAUUAGUACAAUAUUUGGAGGUUUUAUUUAGGAUAUUAAAAAAAAAAAGGGAAGUGAAUAAAAUGAUGAAGAAUAAUAUGCCGAAUUUGACACUUUAAAUUUCUUACACAUAAGAAUAAGACUAAACUUUAAUUUGGAUGCCGAUUAUGUUUUUUCAAGUUUAUAUAAAGUAAAAGAAUUGAAUUUUGGAAGCCAGGAGUGUGUCAAUUGAAUUUUGGCCGGCAUGCAAGGUAUCAAUCUCUUCGUCUCAUCGAGUAGUACAACUUUCCUUUUUGUUUCACUCAAUUUCGUUGAGUAUUGAAAAAGUUAUACUCAUUUGAAUCUUACCCAGUUUCCGGCGACCUCAGUGGCUUUCGAGGCAAUUUCCGGCCAAACCACAACUAGUCAGACAUCGUGUAAGGUACCAUUCUCUUCGUCUCGAUUUGAGGGAUACAACUUUCCUUUUUGUUUCACUCAAUUUCGUUGCGUAUUGAAAAAGUUAUACUCAUUUGAAUCUUACCCAAUUUCCGGCGACCUCAGUGGCUUUCGAGGCAAUGUCCGGCCAAACCACGACGAUUCAGACGUCGUGUAAGGUACCAUUCUCUUCGUCUAUUCGAGGGCUACAACUUUCGUUUUUGUCUUGCUUGAUUUCGUUGAGUUUUGACAAAGUUAUGGCCGUUUAAAGUGGGUGUAAAUUUUCGGCCGAAAUUCUGAUUUUCUCCUAUUGGGAGAGUCCCACAUCGCCCAUGCUUGCUCACUGCCCUCGCAAUUUGUCCUAUAAAACCCACAUUCCCCUGCUCAAUAAGCCAUAUCUUGUUCGCCCUUUGGGCUAUGAUCAAAUGAAGUAUGUGUUGAGUUUUCUCAACAUAUUUAAGUAUUUUUUAGUAUUAUGUGGUGAUAUUAUCGAUAAUUUCAAAAAUAUUGCGAUAUUAUCGAUAUUAUCGAUAAUAUCCCGAUAUUUUGAUGAAAAUCAUUUGGAUAGUUAAAAAAAUAUCGGAUCUCCAAAAAAACGAUAAUAUCGGCGAUAUUUUGCCGAUAUUAUCGAUUUUUUCUUCCAUGCUCCUAUCCAAUAAAAAAAACAAAAAAAAAACUUAUAUAUGAGUUUAAAAUUCAGAUGCAAUGAAGAGGUGAAAUGUAAUGUUUGAACUCAAAAUUAAAUUUGAAAUUAACUUUUCAAUGUGUCGGAAGUGGUCUCAACAUUAUAAGCCAAAGCAACAAGUCACUCAAUUUAGUGUCAUAAAAAUAUAAUUCGUAAUUAUGAGACAGAAAUUUAUUGUUUUUCUCUCUUAUAAAAACUCAUAAAAAUCACAGCAAUCACAUAUUCACAACAUAAUUGAACCCAAAUCCCACGAAUGGAAAGGCUUUCGUUAUUGAUAAAAAAAAAAAAGAAGGAAAAAUUAAGAUAGAACAAGCACAAGUUAUUGAGCCCAAUACGUAAUUCAGUUUAUUUUCUUCCUUCCCAAGCAACCUAAAAUUGGAAAAAUCCCAAUUCUCAAUCCUCCAGCUCUUCCUCCUCAUACUCUCCCUCAUCUUGUGCCACAGCAUCUUGGUACUGCUGAUACUCAGAAACCAAGUCAUUCAUGUUGCUCUCAGCCUCAGUGAACUCCAUCUCAUCCAUGCCCUCACCUGUGUACCAGUGCAAGAAGGCCUUCCUCCUAAACAUAACCGUGAACUGCUCCGAAACCCGCCUAAACAUCUCUUGAAUUGACGUUGAAUUCCCCAUGAAUGUGGAGGACAUGGCGAGCCCGGUUGGUGGAAUGUCACAAACACUUGAUUUCACAUUGUUUGGAAUCCACUCCACAAAGAAUGAGGAGUUCUUGUUUUGUAUGUUGAUCAUUUGCUCGUCCACUUCUUUUGUGCUCAUUUUUCCACGGAACACGGCCGAUGCUGUCAGGUAUCGACCGUGGCGUGGAUCUGCGGCGCACAUCAUAUUCUUAGCGUCCCACAUUUGUUGAGUGAGCUCAGGGAUUGUGAGGGCUCUGUAGAAUUGGGAGCCGCGAGAGGUCAAGGGUGCGAAACCAACCAUGAAAAAGUGGAGGCGGGGGAAAGGGAUGAGAUUCACAGCUAGUUUUCGAAGGUCGGAGUUGAGCUGGCCCGGGAAGCGAAGGCAGCAUGUGACUCCACUCAUGGUUGUGGAAAUCAAAUGAUUCAAAUCACCGACUGUAGCAUGUAUAAUGCAAAUGGACUUUUUAGUAUUUAGAAGUGCAAUAACGAAAUGAUAAUGUUUUUUGUUUCUUAGAUGACAAGUUAUGUUAUCAAACUUCCAAUAUGGACCUUAAUAUUGACAACUCAAUAACAUAGCAUGUCAGACUAUCUGAAAAGAGAACAUGUGAAUGCAUGUUAAGUUGUCACACUCUUAACUUAGGUCAAAUGUUUAAAUAAACUCAUGUAAUCAAAUGAUUCAAACAACUCUAAUUCGACAACGCAACAUAUUAGAUUGUUGGAAAACUUGCAUUUAUAUGACUAAAAAACUAUUACUGAUUAAUACAUACAGCUUGGAUUUGUGAGCUUCAGAGUUCUGAAACAGAUAUCAUAGAGGGCUUCAUUGUCAAGGACCAUGACCUCAUCAGCAUUUUCAACUAACUGGUGAACAGAGAGAGUGGCAUUGUAGGGUUCAACCACAGUGUCUGAGACUUUUGGUGAGGGGAAGACUGAGAAAGUCAUCAUCAUUCUAUCUGGAUACUCUUCCCUGAUCUUUGAUAUCAGUAGGGUUCCCAUUCCUGACCCUGUCCCACCUCCCAGUGAAUGGCAAAUCUGGAACCCUACAACACAUUAUUAAACACUUAAUUAAUUUUUAUUGAUCAUGAUGAACAUAACCAAGAUCUUGUGCCUUGCUUGUGAUUGGCUUUUUAACCAAAAUAGUCAUUGAGAUUUGCAUAACACAUCACUUUGGUCCUUGAGAUUUGAAAUCAAUAGAAGUGGUCUCUAAAAUUGUCUACCAUCAAUCAUUUUGAUCAUUUCGUGCAAAACUAUGUUAAGUAAGGAUCAAAAUUACAAAUAUACCCUCAAUUUAAUAAACAAUGACCAAAAUGAUUUGUCUAAACUAAUUUUGAUCUAUCUUUAGAAUCUAGCAAAACCACAUUUUCUAGUAAAUCUUUUAUUUUGGAUCCAACUUUUCUAGAAAUAUAUGAUCACAUCAAUUAGGACUUUAGAAGAAAAAAAGAAGAAUUAGAAAGAAGAAAAUGGCCAACAAUCUCAAAUUACAAAUUAAAUACCUUGUAAACAAUCACAAUUCUCGGCCUCUUUUCUAACCACAUCAAGAACAGCAUCGAUCAACUCAGCUCCUUCUGUGUAAUGCCCUUUAGCCCAAUUGUUUCCAGCUCCAUUCUGACCAAACACAAAGUUGUCCGGCCUGAAAAUCUGCCCAUAAGGACCUGUUCUUAAACUGUCCAUCGUCCCCGGCUCGAGGUCCAUCAGCACUGCCCUAGGCACAUAUCUCCCUCCAUUUGCUUCAUUAUAGUAAACAUUCACCCUCUCAAGCUGAAGGUGAGAGUUCCCGUUGUAUUUUCCCGUGGGAUCGAUCCCAUGCUCGUCACACAUCACCUCCCAAAAUUUGCCUCCAAUUUGGUUCCCACAUUGUCCAGCUUGAACAUGCAAGAUUUCUCUCAUUUUCUAAAAUGUACUAAAAUAAAUAAAUAAAUAAGGGUUUAUGGGGCUAAAGAGAAAACAAGGGAAGAGAAGAACAAUGGAAAAUUAUGAAAUGGUAAUGACCCUUUUUGUAGUUGUUCAAGUCUCUAAUUUUUUUCUUCUGUUGAAAUAAUUGACAAUAUGUUUAGAUAAUAAUAAUUUCAUUUAAUAAUUUCAUGUGGUUUGUUCAGAGAGGCAUGUCAAAGCUCCAACCAGGGGGUCGUGAGC